rnacentral:lncRNA from 1 species
GAUGGAUGCUACGACUGCGAAAAUUCAGGGAAUUAUUGUGGGUUCAACACUACAAGCAAUUCGACAAUUUGCGUUGCCGUUAAACACAAAAAACGUAAGUAACCAUAUCUUUUCUCAGUCACCUCUCUCUACAGUGCUUGAAAGUGAAAGCAUCGUCUGUAUAUAGCUAACAAUAAAAAUAAUAAGUUGAAUUUAUUAUCAUUGUUAUAUAUGCUGGAAAAAUGAUCAGAGCAGUGUAACUGAAAAAAAAUAAUAAUAAUUAGGCUUUGCAUUAUUUUUUCAAUUGUAAAAUUGUAAUUACAAUUGCUGGAAGUUAAAAAUUAAAGAAGCCAUCUAUAUUAUUUUAGGUCAGUUUUUUAAAAAUUAAUAAUUUGAACUGAACUUAAAGUCCAAUCAAUCUGGUUUGAUUUAGUUAGGUUUGAUUUAUUUAUUUUUUUCAUUUGACCUGCAAUUUCUUUUGAUGGAUUUUUACUUUCUCUCAUAUAAAUCGAUGGAUUUUUUUUACAAAAAAAAAAAAAAAACUGACGAUUUGUUUUUUUGGCGGCAAUUAUAAUUUUACCCACCUCUAAUCUGUAUGGCGAAUAUCAUUGCUAUAAAGGCUGCUUUCCAGUAUUAUUGCCAGUUGCAAAGUGCUCGAUAAAAUGUUGCUAGCCUGGCUGAUUUGACUGUUUGAAGAAAAACUGAUACUACUCAGGACCAAAUAGAUAGUACUAAUGUUGAUGCUGAAAUCUGCUCGCCCUUUACCGGACCAGAGUUUUCCACCAACGCUUAUAUGCUUAAUGGGAACGAUGUCACUUUCUCCUUGCCUUAACGAUCGCUUACGUCACUGGGUUGGAAUCACCCCUUUUUUAUCUUGCUAAGCCUGCGUUCACAAAGAAUGGAUCAGAGACGCCGGUAGUUUUACCGGCGUAAACCCUUCGAUGCCUAAGUUAGCACAAGGUGUUUACGGGAAAACGGUUCAAUUUAGAUUUUGGAAUGGCUUAAAGUUCACUCUCAGUUUGUGUAGAAAAACAAUCUAGUUUUAAUUUGGCAGAGUUUUCCCUUCUCUAUCAGUUUUUUCAUCCCUUUCUUCAUUGGUUUCUUCAUCUUUUAUAGCCGCUGUCCCACGUUUUAGUUCACCCUUCAUCCCCCCUUUCUCGAGUAGUGGCAGCCCCUCAUGGGACUCCAACUACUACAUUGUGGGUAAACGUGGGACACCGUGUCUUCCUCAACGGUUCUGGGCAUAGCGCAACUGUCGUGAUGUCGUGAGAUCGUGUUCCCGCUCUUUGGGGAAUGGGUAUCUGCUCGGUAUAUGUCUCUGGUCGGCCCAUGUUUGUAGAAGGCUCAUUGUCAGUGUUCUGCUCGUACCAUUCGGCUGAGGUGAUCCACCCCGGGGUGGGGAUGAUGGCCUGGCUGAGCUGGUGCUCUUAUUUACUUAACACCAGUCCCCUAGUUUCUGGUCUUGCGAGUGAAACGAGUUGAGAGUAGAAACUGGUAAUCGAAUUUUACCGAUCCUGGGAACUACCCAUCUGGUCCUCGCGUUAUUGUGGUGGAUCUGAGGUUCCAUCUCUCGUCUAAGGAGGUUUUGGCAUGAGUGUGGGCCUUCAUGAAUAUAUCUAGUAUACACUUGGGCUUGCGUCUCGUCAGGCCUCUUAUAACGGUUAGUGACGUGGUGCUUCCCGACUCUUCGUAUUUGAAAUUUGAAACGACAGGCUAUCCAUCCUCGAUAUACGGUAAAUGAGCUGGCAUCCCUGUCACUUAAACGCUUCCAUUUCUCCCUUUUUGUUUCAAAUCCCUAGACUGAAAUCAUCAUUGUUUUGUUACUCGUCUCUCUGCCGUAAACCAACUCCUUCUCUGAACUUUACUCUCACUUCCUGCGUCCGGAGCCUCCACUUGCUGGGUUCUUUCUCUGUCACGGCAGCGCUAUCCGUGCCAGCCUAUUCCAGCUAUAGCCUUUAACCCCCUCUCUGGUUGUUGUUGAUUGGGUUUUGUAUUGUGGGUUCUGUAUUUGUCCCUUUUUGUACCCAUAUGUUUGGAUAUUUUGUGCUUUCCCUUUUUAAACUUCAAUAUGUCAAACCGGAAGGGAAAAAUAAUUGUAGAUGACAGUGAUGGAGAGAUAGAGGAUUCAUAUCCCCAUCUGUUUGGGCCCGAUGAUCUUUUAUACUCCUCUCGUAGUGUAGGUCCCUCCCAUCGUAAGGAUACCCCUGAAUACCCUCGUUCUAUGACCACUUUGCCUUCCCCUGAGUUAGAGCUUGUAGGAAACCGAGGUGGACCCGCGUCGGGCUCUGGUGAAAAUCGUAGUUCUGGUGGGGCUGGGGUCCCUGAAGAGGUGGAUGAUGGUGAGGGGAGCAGUUCCGAGCCGAGCAGACCCUCUAAGAAGAGAAACAUUGGCCAUAGGAUGGAGGCAGAUUCUUAUCCUAUUGACUAUAUAGCUUGUGCCACCACUCCAACUGACCUGCUCAAGCUUAGAACCCUUUAUAACAUACCUGAAGAGGUUCUCCUUGUAAUCCCUGGGAAAGAUGACGUUCCUAGUCAGCCUCCGAGGGGGUAUGUGACGAUGCAUCUGGAGAGUUUCAAAUUAGGAGCUCGGUUGCCCCUUCAACGUUAUUUUGCCAAGAUAUUGGGUGGUAUGCACCUGGCUCCAGGUCAGUUACACCCAAAUGGGUGGAGGGUUCUCUCGGCUAUAUAUGUGUUAUGGGAGAGGUGUGGAUCAGAGGAACCCUCCCUUAUUGAAGUAAAGCAUUUGUACCAGCUCAGGAGUAGCCCAAAGGAAGCAGGCUGGCAUUACUUCAUGUCGAGCUCUGCAAAGAGGAAGGCAAUCACUGGCUUUCCUUCAUCUUGUAAGAAUUGGAAGAACAAAUUCUUCUUUGUUGGAGGAAAUUGGUGUCCAGCAGUCCGCUCGCUUGGUGGUGAUAUUUACCUUCCAACGCGCUUUGUCACCCCAGGUUGUUUAUUUUUUGCCCAUUUUCUUUCUCCAAUCGUUACUUAUUGGGUUCUUUAACCUUGUUUGCUCUUUCAGAAUCGUGGGGUUUGAUUAAGGAGCUUGAAGACAGACCCUUGCUCCAGGUAGAAACUGCUCUAGUGAACGCGUCUACCUGCCAAGACCUCCUGUCAUCAACAAACCUGGUCGGAUCGCGCUUAGUGGACGUAGCUGCCGGAAUGGAUAACAAGAUCCUCAGUGCUAUGACCAGGAAGCGUGGUCGGGCUCCAGCAGCUCCAGCAAUCCCCCUCCUCCUUCGAAGAAAACCAAUGUUGGUCCACCCAAGGCUUUUGUUCCUGCUCUGCCCCCUCAUCCACCUCGAAAAAAUGGUGGGGCGAAGGUGAGUGAUAAGAGUCCUGAGGUCAGCAUUCAGCCCGGGGACCGAUCUUCUCCUCUUCCAUCUCGGGACCAAGGUGAUUACCUGAGCCCGUAUAAGAGGGAUUACGGCAAAUCGGUGGGACCCAAGAUGGUGAAGGACAUCGAGAGUAUGAACCUUGCCGAGUUAGCUGGUUCCGUUCAAAGGGUCUCCUUUAAGCUGGCCACCUUGGUUUCGUGCUACAAGAACAGGUCCAUGCGCCAUGAGAGGAAGCUUCAAGCUGACAACCAGGACUUGAAGAAAAAAGUUGAGUCUACCGAUCGCUCGAAGGAAAAGCUGCUUGAUCUGCACAAGCAAAUCAUGGACCUGGAGGAGAAAGUGGCCCUGGCUGAGUCCUCCUCCACCAAGCUUGAGGGUGAGUUGGGUAAUCUGAAGUCUGAUCUUCAGGCCACUCAAAGUGAGCGAGAUACCUUGAAGACGACCCUUGAGGGAGAAAUCAAAUCUCUGAGUGAGCAGUUGGCCGAGGUGAAAGGCAAAUAUGCUGAUGUGGAUGAUCGGCUGGAUGCAGAGUAUGACUCUGGGGUUGCUUUCUGCUAUAAGUGCAUCAUAUUUGUGCUCAAGGAAGAAUAUCCAGAGCUUAACAUGAGCAAGCUGAAGGCUGGAGUGCAGAACUAUAUGGCUGAGUCCGACCAGGGGGACAAAGAGCAGGGGAAUCAGGAUCAGGUGGAACCUCAUUCAGGUGGGGCCAGGAGGAGGGAGCAGGGGGUCGUACUCAUGAAGUAGGUCAAGGGUCAGUGCCUCCUCCCCCCGAUGUUGCUGAUCCUCCUCUUCCUGAGAUUGUUGAUCCUUCAACAACCGAGGCCGCUGAUCCUCAUAAUUUUUAGGUUUAUUUUUGUAUAAACCCUAAACUUUCAGCUGUUUUGUAAACAUUUUGAGUAUAAAUUUUGGAUGCUUUCCAUUGGGUUUUUUAUUGUGGUUUUGCUUAUGGAUCGUUUCUGCAAAUUGCCUUAACAUAUUUAGUUGGCUUUGCCUGCUAGUCCUUUAAUCGACUGAGCAGGAAUGGGCACUCGCUUGCCAUAACCAAAUUUGUAGAUUUGCCUGCUGGUCUUUUAGGCGACCGAGCAGGAUUAGUCACUUGCUUGCCUUAAUAAAAUUAGUAGGUUUGCCUCCUGGUCCUUUAGGUGACCGAGCAGGAUUAGGCACUUGCUUGCUUUAACGACUUUUGUGAAAUAGCCUGCUAGUCCUGAAGGCUACCGAGCAGGAAUAGGCACUUGUUUGCCUUAGCAAAAUUUCGUGAAAAUGCCUGCUGGUCCUUAGGCGACCGAGUAGGAAUAGACACUUGCUUGCCUUAGUAGAAUUUUUAUGAAAUAGCCUGCUGGCUCUUUAGGCGACCGAGCAGGAAUAGACACUUGCUUGCCUUAGUAGAAUUUUUAUGAAAUAGCCUGCUGGUCUUUAGGCGACCGAGCAGGAAUAGGCACUUGUUUGCCUUAGUAAAAUUUAAUGGAUUGUACUAGCAGGGGAAUUUCAUGCUGAAUUCAUCUUUAUUGAAACUUGCAUGGGUUACAGAAAUGUGAAAUAUAUGCAUGUGCCACAAGUCAUCAUGCAUUUAACAGAAAUAACUUAUCGAAAUAAAGACUUGGUAAAGCACUUUGCUUACUGGAAGUACUUCUUCAAGUGUUCAGCGUUCCAUGACCUCUUCACGUCUCGUCCAUCUGGGUAAGUCAGCUUGUAAGCUCCUGGUCCAGUCGCUCGUAUUACCCUGUACGGGCCUUCCUAUUUCGGGCCGAGAUCGCCAUGGUUAGGGUCCCUAGUGUUUUGGUUCACCUUCCUAAGUACCCAAUCUCCUGCUUGGAACUGCCUCACGCGUACGUUCUUGUUGUAACAACGCAUGAUUCUUUGUUGACAUUGGGCCACUUUCUGCGAGGCCCCUUCCCUUUUCUCCUCCAGCAGGUCCAAGCUCAAGCAGAUCUGCUCGUCGUUUUGCUCCUCGUUGAAGUAUUCUGUCCGAUGUGUCCCCACUCCAAUCUCUGCUGGGAUUACCGCAUCAUGACCAAAAGCUAAAGCAAACAGGGUUUCCCCCGUGGCAGUUUUGUGGGUUGUCCGGUAAGCCCAUAACACUCCUGGUAGCUCGUCGACCCAAGCUCCCUUCUUCUCUCCCAGCCUGGUUUUUAGGAGUUUCUUUAUUACUUUGUUGGCUGCUUCCACUUGUCCGUUUGCCUGGGGGUGUGCUGGGGUGCAAAACUUCAGGUCCACCCCCAAGUUUUGGCAAAAUUCUCUGAAGUUGUUGUUGUUGUCAAACUGGCUAUCUCAAAAGGGGCAAGGUGAAUUCUCGGCGGUAAAGUACCCCAUCGAGUAGCGUAUACCUUGCUGCUCGGCAUUUCAAUUUCCUUGUUUGCUUCCUGCCCUCCGGUAGAAUGCCAUUCCAGAUGUAGGAGAAAAUAGGGUCCAUCCAAGACUCCUCGAUGCUCACCCGCAUUACUUCUGCUCCCUCCCCUAUGCUUGGCGAGGUCCUCACUUUCAGUGGAACUGACUUGGGUAACUUUGGAUCCGCAACUGCGGCCAUUCUGGCCAACAUGUCUGCUUGGUAAUUCUCGUUUCGGGAUAUCUGCUUUAUCUCUACCUCUUGGAAUAGCCCGACCAUAUGCUUUGCCUUCUUCAAAUAAAGCCCCAUCUUUUCUUCUCUUGCUUGGAAUUGAUCACUGAGCUGAUUACAGACUAAUUGGGAAUCUGCUCGGAUUUCUACCUUUUCUGCUCGUAGUGCAUGUGCGAUCUCGAGCCCAGUGAAGAAGGCUUCGUAUUCAGCUUGGUUGUUCGUGAGCUGAAAUUCAAACUUCACUGCAUAGGAUAUCUCGAUCCCUUCUGGACUUCGUAUUACAAUCCCUGCUCCGGAUCCUUGUUCACUACGUGACCCAUCAACCAUUAUCAUCCACACCCCCUUUGGGUUCUCCUGUUCCACUAAUUGUUCCUCCUGAACUUCUUCUCUUGAUUCGACACGGUCAACCAUAAAAUCGGCCAGAGCUUGGGCUUUGAUUGCUCCUCGGGGCCUAUAGGAUAAGUCGAAUUCGCUCAGCUCCACGGACCACUUUACUAACCGCCCUGAUGCAUAUGGUGUUUGGAGCAUUUGCCGAAGAGGCUGGUCAAUCAUCACAACUAUCGGGUGGGCCUGAAAAUAUGGUCGGAGUUUUCGUGCUGCCGUUAUUAAAGUCAGUGCCCAUUUCUCCAUCAGUAGAUACCUGGUUUUUGCAUCUACUAGGGCCUUGCUAGUGUAGUAUACGGGGUGUUACUUUCAUUCUUCUUCUUUGACUAAUACCGAGCUGAUAGCCCAUUUUGAGAUUGCCAAGUACAAAAACAGCUGGUCACAUUCUCUCGGAGUUGAUAGUAACGGGGCGCGGGCCAGAUAUUCCUUCAGCUGCCCGAACGCCUCCUCACAUUUUGAUGUCCACUCCAUCUUUCUCCCUUUCUUUAUGGUUUGGAAGAAAUGGUGGCAUUUAUCUGUGGUCCGCGAGAUGAAUCGGUUCAAUGCUGCCAAUUUCCCUGUAAGGCUCUGCACCUCCUUAACUGUUCGUGCGGACCUCAUUUCUGUUACCGCCCGUAUCUUUUUCGGGUUGGCCUUGAUCCCUCGGUGGCUCACCAGGAAUCCCAAAAAUUUGCCCAACCUGACCCCAAAUGCACAUUUCUCCGGGUUCAGCUUCAUUUCAUACUUCCUCAGCAAUUCAAAGGUCUCUUCCAAGUGCUUUACAUGAUCCCUCGGUUCCUUAGACUUUGUGAUCAUAUCGUCCACAUAUACCUCUAUAGUGUGACCAAUCAAUGGCUUGAAGAUCUUGUUCACCAACUUUUGAUAGGUAGCUCCUGCAUUUUUCAGGCCAAAAGGCAUUACCCUGUAGCAAAAUAAACCCAUGUUAGUUAUAAAUGUGGUGUUUUCCUCAUCCUGCUCGUCCAUGGGUAUCUGGUUGUAUCCCGAAAAGGCAUCCAUGAAGCUGAGCAGACUGUGACCCGCUGUUGAGUCCACCAAUUGAUCUAUCUUUGGUAGGGAAAAACUGUCCUUCGGGCAUGCCUUAUUAAGGUCUGUGAAAUCCACACACAUUCUCCAUUUCCCGUUGGCCUUCUUUACCAGUACUACAUUGGAAAUCCACUCCGGGUACUUGGCCUCCCUUAUAAAUCCUACUUUCAACAGCUUUUCCACUUCGGCAUUUAUGGCCUCGUACCUUUCCUAGUUAAAGCACCUCAUUUUCUGCCUCACCGGCCUUGCCCCCUUCUUGAUUGCCAACUUGUGGCAAGCUACCCCGCGAUCAAUUCCUGGCAUGUCCUCGUGAGACCAGGCAAAUAUAUCUGCAUGAGACUGUAUGCACUUCACCAGCUCGCCUUUUACUGCCCCGGUCAAUCCUGAUCCGAUCUUAACCACUCUGCUCGGGUUACUCUUGCUCACCACAACCUCCUCCAGUUUCUCAACAGGUUCCUGGCGACCCUUUUUGGAAUCUCCUCGGUUAUCUAGAGAGGUAACAUGUAGUGUCUCCUUGGCUGCUGUAGCGUAACAGCUCCUCGCCAUUCUCUGGUCACCUUUUACUACGCCAACAACUCCAUUUACUCUGUACUUCAAUGCCAGGUAAUGCGUGGAUACAACACACUGACUUACCCUCAUGAAAGGUCGUCCUAGUAUCAUCUAGUAAGGGCUUCUUUCUUCUACCACAACAAAGUCCAGCAUCAUUGUUCUUUCAAACGGCUUUGACCCCACAGUAAUCGGAAGUUCGAUAAUCCCCAUAGGGGUUAACCGUCCUCCUCCAAAUCCCUUUAAGGAUGUAUUUGUCCGCUCCAGUUUUAAGUCUGAAAUUCCCAUAUCAUCUAGGGCCGACUUAAACAGUAUGUCAACCGAGCUACCCGUGUCCACCAGUAUUCGCUGCAAUUCUGUACCGACCACCAUUGCCUUAAUCACCAGUGUAUCCUCAUGAGGAUAUAAAACACCCUCUUCGUCGUCUUCUGUCCACAUAAUGGGAACUUGCCUCAUUUUCGCCCUCUUGGCUGCUGGCAAAUUGAAAAGCACCUCUUUGCUGGUCAUGGCAUAUCUCCCAUAAUUCUUCCGUACCCUGUUUGAAUCCCCAGCCAAUGUUGGCCCUCCUGCUAUCACACGGAUAGUGGGCUGUUCACGCUCUAGGCUUCUCUCAACUCCCUCAUCCCGCGUAUACUGUGAUUCAAUGACAGGUGAAACUCCAUCUACAUAUUCAUCCAAGUAUUGGUUCCUCACCAAAUCCUCCACCUGAGUUUUUAGGUCACGACAUUGGUUUAUUGUGUGACCACGAGUAUUAUGGAAUUUGCAGAAUCUGCUCUUAUCACGUCUGUGAGCAGGUUUUGUUAUGGGGGCAGGAGGAUAUAGCAGGCCUCGCCCCUCGAUCCUCUCAUAUAGCUCCUCCAUAGAGACUUUUAAUGGGGUGUAUUGUCUAUAUGUCGAGCUCUGGUUAAUCAGUUGGACUGCUCGGCUAUCCUGGAUAUCAUCCCGAGCUUGCAUUGAAGGUAGCUGACUGGGUCGUCCAGCUCUGGAGUUGACUGGAUGUAGUGCCCUGGGAGCGUUGUAAUAAGGAUGGGCAGCCAACUGCCGGAAUUCUCGUUGCCGCUCCGGGAAUGGGGGGUGAGGAGACUGAGCCCGGCUGUGUUGGAACUGUUGUGGUCUCUGAGCUAUGGGGUAAGGGCGGGACCGAGCUGAUAUUCCGCCCAUUACUGAGGAUUCCCCAGCUCGCUUUCCCGACCCGCUCCCGUUCGGGGUUCUCAUUUCCUUUCGUCUCAGCUUUUCAAGCUGUUCACUUUUUAUCCUCGCCGAUUUCUCCUCUUCGAUUUCUAUAUCUCUCCUCGCCUGCUCAUACCCCGUCGAAUAAUUCUGUACUAGGGGACUUCUCAAGUUGUACCACAGUCGGCCUAUCCUCACGCCCUCUUUUAAUCCCCUCAAUGCCUGCGGGUGAUUGAAAGCCCCCAGAUCAAGCACGGCUCGGUGGUAUCGUUUUACAAAUUCCCGAAGGGAUUCAUGUUCCUCCUGCUUAAUCCUUAUCAGUUCCAUCAUAUCGUCCUCUGGGGCUACUGCUCCUCGGAACUGCUCGGCCAACUCUUGGCACAUCUGCUCGCAUCCUUUUAUACUUCCUCGUGGCAACUUGCGGUACCAUUCUCGGGCUCGUCCCUCUAGUGUCAAUGGGAACACCUUGCACCUCUGAGCUAGUGUUAGCCCCUGCACACCCGUCAUGUCGUUGAAGCGUUCAAUAUGUACCAGCGGGUCACUUCGCCCGGAGUAUUUGAGGUCGGGAAAGCGGAAAUCUAUUGGGAUUACAGUACCCAUGAUCUCGGCUGAUAACAUAGACUCUUCAUCUAACAUUAUCCUCCAACUCGGGGGCUUUUUCUUGCCCUGAAUCUCCUCCAUCAGCUGCGCCAAUCUGCGCACCUCACCUUCCAAUUCUACAGCACGGUCUGGAUCACGCGCAGCUAUAUGAUCUCGCUCCUGCUCGGUAUUCUACAACCGCUGUCUGAGCUCUCCUUCAUCCACAUUGCUUCCUCGGCCAUCAAUUUCCAGUACUCGUCCGGAGCGGGGUUGGUCUCUCCUUUUAUCCACGCGCUCCCCUGGAACCUAACCAAUAUUUCUAUGGGGAUGCACCCCAUAGGGUUGGUCUACCGGUGGGGGGAUUUCCUCGACUCUACGGCUCCGGAGGCUGGGUUCUGCCUCAACUUCAUCUCUCCCCACGGGGGUUUCAUAGCCCCUUCUCCGCUCAUCCUUCAGCUCAUGCAAUAUGGCCGUGAGAGUUUCCAUUUGUUUCUCCAUCCGUUCCAUUCGAUCUUGCAUCAUCCUCUCUCUAGCUUCAUUUGCUAUCUCUCGGAGAGUGAUUGUUUCACCAGUUUCAUUGUCGCCACCUAGGGCAUCCUUCCUUGAUAUAUCCAUAACCGAUUGUUCGCUGCUUCUCCGAUGACUACUAAUUUGGUGGUAGCUUUUUAUCCAGCUCCCCACAGACGGCGCCAAAAUGUUGAUACUGAAAUAUGCUCGCCCUUUACCCGACCAGAGUUUUCCACCAACGCUUAUAUGCUUAACGGGAAAUGUCACUUUCUCCUUGCCUUAACGAUCGCUUACGUCACUGGGUUGGAAUCACCCUUUUUUUUAUCUUGCUAAGCCUACGUUCACAAAGAAUGGAUCAGAGACGCCGAUAGUUUUACCGGCGUAAACCCUCCGAUGCCUAAGUUAGCACAAGGUGUUUACGGGAAAACGGUUCAAUUUAGAUUUUGGAAUGGCUUAAAGUUCACUCUCAGUUUGUGUAGAAAAACAAUCUAGUUUUAAUUUGGCAGAGUUUUCCAUUCUCUCUCAGUUUUUUCAUCCCUUCCUUCAUUGGUUUCUUCCUCUUUUAUAGCCGCUGUCCCACGUUUCCGUUCACCCUUCAUCCCCCCUUUCUCGGGUAGUGGCAGCCCCUCAUGGGACUCCAACUACUACAUUGUGGGUAAACGUGGGACACCGUGUCUCCCUCAACGGUUCUGGGCAUACAUGAUUAAACAUAUAAAUCAAAAACUCCCCUUGAAUAUUUGAUUUAUGAUAAUUUGAAAGCUCCCCCAUAAUAUUUCAAAAACAUGCAUAAAUACUUGAAAUACAAAAAUAUGUAUUACAUGUCUUCGUGUCUUUCAAAAACAUGCAUAAAUACUUGAAAUACAAAAAUAUGUAUUACAUGUCUUCGUGUCUUCAUAUUCAAAAUACAUGACUUCUCCCCCUUCAUCAUCAAAAUUACUAGAAAAUCAUGCUAAGACCGAAAAAAAAAAUUAACCAAAAUAUCAUUAUAAAAAAAAAAAAAAACUUAUCAUAGUUAUUACCCCCUUAAAAAAAAUAGAGACAUGCAAUUUGAAACAAGAUCAUAAAAAAUGAUUCAAGGAAGAUAUUACCAAUUGUGUGCGAGCAAAAAUUUCGGCAGAGUCUCCCCUUAAAAAUGAACAAAUCCUCAAAUACACAAUGUGAUUAAAAAUACUUCCAUAUAAUCUUAAACAAUUAUAACAAACCAACAACUCCAUUAAUUCAUUAAGCAACACACAUAUAAUCAUCAAUAAUCAAAAGUACUAUAAAUCCAUACUUAUACCAAAAAGAAUAUCUCAAUAAUUAAUCAAGAAACAUUAAGCGUGCAAUUAACUAAAGAGUCAUAUUCAUUCUAAGAAUUCAAAAAAUAUCAUCCAAAUAUAAAUUAUCCAAAUAUUAAACAACCAUAAUCCGUAAUCCACAAUUAAAACAAUUAUACAUAUGAAAAUGUAGGUGCAUAAUAUAAUAAGAAACCAUGGUAAUUUAAAAUACCCAAAAUGCACAAAUUCGGUUUUGUAAAAUAAUGAGUGAAAUGGAUUAUUUUAAACCGAUUAUAUUGAUCCAAGAGAUGAUUUAAGAUAAUGGAUGGUGUUGAUUGGAUCAAAAGUGGACUAAAAAGAGCUUAAAUAUGCAAUUUCGGGUUUAACAAAAAUUGAGUGAAAUGGAUUUGUUUGAACCAAGAAAAUCAAUCCUAGAGAUAAAUGAAGCUAGUAUAUGAUGUAGAUUGGAUAAAAAAUGGGCUAAAGGAAGCUUGAAAAUGAAGAGAGAGAAACGGGUAGAAUGAGAAUUUUUUAUUUUGGGUUUUAUGUGGAGAGAUGAUGAAAUCGAGUUUUGAGAGUGAAAAUUGAAAGAGUAAUGGAUGAAUAAUGAGUUGGAUGAUUGAUUUUAACAAGAAAAUGAGUGAAAGAUGAAGAGAUUUGAGAAAGAAAAUGGAGAGCACUAUUCAUGCGGGAAUGGAAUGAGGAUGGAAUGAUGAAGAACAAGUGAAGAAAUCAUGAUGGAGAAGUGUUUAAUGAAGAUGAAAUGCAUGGGUAUUAGUUUGAAUGGUUGAUUUGGGCAUGAAAAUGGAUGAAAAAGGAAGGAAAAUGGAGGUGAAAAUGGAUGGGUUGCUCACGGUUUUGAAUGAGAGAGAAAGCAUGUGCAGAAAAUUCACGAAAGAGGAAGAAGAAGCAAAAAAAAAUUGACCACACCCGUGACCAAGCGGCUAGCCGCUUGCUCUCGGGUUAGGGGGACAUUUCCAAGCGGCUCCAAGCGGCUAGCCGCCUGGUUGCUGUCCAGCUGCACCUUAGUUAAUUUCCGGCCAAUUUUAAUCAAUUUCGUGACCAUUUUGUGAUCCCGAAACAUCUCAAGAGCCAAUUUAAUGCAUGAUUCAUUAUUUUAAACAUCCAAAAGAUAAUUAAUUCAAACAAAUAAUCCAUCCAACAAGCAUACAAUCAUGAAGCAUAUAAACAUUCAAAACUUAAUAAAAUGAAGAAAGGUCAAAUUCGAAAUAAAAACUGUAUUGAUUGAGCCAGAAGUAACGUGCAAGCUAUAUACCGUUAGAAAGAUAAUUAAGUUAGCUUUCCAAUAAAUUUUACAAAGCUGGAUUUGGAGUUCUCUAGAAGGGGUUAUGACCAAUUCAUUACAGCUUGUGCAGACUUGGAAUUUUCAACGACUCCUUUGUUUUCCAAACAAUUUUAAUAGAUUCAAUAACAUAAAUAGAGAUGUUAAUCCGAAAAUUUCAUCAUCUUAAGUUCAUACCGAAUUUUUGAAAAUUGUUCUUCGCAAAGGGGUUUUGUAAAAAUAUCGGCAAGUUGUUUUUCCGUAGAGAUAAAUUCUAAUGCAAUAUCACCUUUUUGAACAUGAUCUCUCAAGAAAUGAUGCCUAAUCUCUAUAUGCUUGGUCCUAGAAUGUUGAAUGAGAUUCUUUGAAAGAUUUAUGGCGCUAGUAUUAUCGCACUUGAUAGGAAUUUUUUCAAGAACAAUACCAUAGUCUCUAAGUGUUUGUUUCAUCCAAAGUGCUUGUGCACAACAACUUCCUACGGCAAUAUAUUCCGCCUCAGUAGUUGAGAGUGCCACGGAAUUUUGUUUCUUACUAAACCAUGAAACAAGUGAAUGACCAAGAAAAUGGCAAGUUCCACUAGUACUCUUUCUAUCGACCUUGUGACCAGCAAAAUCGGUAUCCGAAUAACAAGUUAAAUCUAUAUGAGUUCCUCUAGGAUACCAAAGGCCAAUAUCUAUGGUUCCACUUAAAUAACGAAAAAUUCUUUUAACAGCAAGCAAAUGAGAUUCCUUGGGACAUGAUUGAAAUCUUGCACACAAACAUACACUAAACAUGAUAUCGGGUCUACUUGCGGUUAAGUAAAGUAAGGAUCGAUCAUACCUCGAUACUUUUUAAUAUCAACCUCUUUACCUUUCUCAUCUUUAUCAAGCUUGAUUGUUGUACUCAUUGGAGUAUUCUUGGUAUUUGAUUCAUCAAUACCAAAUCUCUUGAGCAAGUCUUUGACGUACUUAGCUUGGUUGAUGAAAAUCCCCUCAUUGUUUUGUUUGAUUUGAAGUCCAAGAAAACACUUCAAUUCUCCCAUCAUGCUCAUCUCAAAUUCCUUACUCAUACAAGAGUAAAAUUCUUUGCACAAAGAUUCAUUAGUAGAACCAAAAAUAAUAUCAUCAACAUAAAUUUGAACAACAAGUAUAUCUUGAUUUUUAUUUUUAAUAAAGAGGGUAGUAUCCGCUCUUCCCAUCGAAAAACCGUUAUCCAACAAGAAAUUUUUAAGCUUAUCAUACCAUGCUCUAGGUGCUUGUUUUAAUCCAUACAAUGCUUUUGAUAACUUAUACACAUGAUUUGGAAAUUUCUCAUUUUCGAAACCAGGAGGUUGUUUCACAUAAACUUCCUCCAUAAUAUAACCAUUUAGGAAAGCACUCUUGACAUCCACUUGAAAUAAAAUAAAAUCUUUAUGACAUGCAAAUGCUAACAACAUCCUAAUGGAUUCUAAUCUAGCUACAGGUGCAAAUGUUUCAUCGAAAUCAAUUCCUUCUUCUUGGUUGUAUCCUUGAGCCACUAAUCUAGCUUUAUUUCUUACAACCAUACUAGAUUCAUCCAUUUUAUUUCUAAAUACCCAUUUAGUGCCUAUAAUGGAUUGAUGUUCCGGUUUAGGAACCAAUUCCCAUACUUUAUUUCUCUCAAAUUGAUUUAACUCCUCUUGCAUUGCCAUAAUCCAAAACUCAUCAUUUUCCGCAUCCGCAAAAGAUUUUGGUUCAAUUUGAGAAAUAAAUGCAACAUGCUCACAUGUGUUUCUAAGUGAUGAUCUAGUUGUGAUACCUCUUGAAUGAUCACCUAAAAUUAAAUCCUUAGGAUGAGAGGAAACAUACCUCCACUCCUUGGGGAGUGUUUGAGAACUACCUUCUUGUUGCUCCAGCUCCAUAUUUGUUUGUUCUUCUUGUCUAUCCUCUUGAUUUUCUUGUGGUGCAUUCUCUUGAUUCUCUUUUGAUGAUUCUUCUUGUAAAGUUUCAUCUGCAUCAUCAUUAUCAACUCCUUUCUCCGCAGAGGAGGGGUUAGAUUCAUCAAACGUAACAUGCAUGGAUUCUUCCACAACUAAAGUUCUUAUAUUAUAAACUCUAUAAGCUUUGCUUGAGUUUGAAUACCCGAGAAAGAUGCCAACAUCAGAUUUUGGAUCAAAUUUACCAAGAUUAUCUUUUGUGUUUAAAACAAAACAUUUGCAUCCAAAAACUUUGAAAUAACCAAUGUUGGGUUUUCUAUCUUUCCAAAGCUCAUAGGGAGUUUUAUUGAGAUGAGGUCUAAUCAACACCCGAUUUAAAAUAUAACAAGCGGUGUUGACGGCUUCGGCCCAAAAAUAUUUUGGUAUUGUUUUUUCAUUUAACAUGGUCCUAGCCAUUUCUUGAAUAGACCUAUUCUUUCUCUCAACAACUCCAUUUUGUUGUGGAGUCCUAGGUGAUGAAAAUUGAUGCUCAAUGCCAAAAUCAUUACAAAAAUUUUCAAAUGCAUGAUUUUCAAACUCUCCACCAUGAUCACUUCCAAUACAAGUAAUAGAAUAACCCUUUUCAUUUUGAACAUUUUUACAAAAAAUUCUAAAUGCAUCAAUGGCAUCAUCCUUAUUAGUUACGAAUAAUACCCAUGUGUAUCUAGAAUAAUCAUCUACAAUUACAAAUGCAUAAAAUUUUCCACUUAAACUGGCAUAUCUAGAGUGUCCAAACAAAUCUAUAUGAAGUAAUUGAAGAGGUUUUGAAGUAGAGAUAUGAUUCUUGUUUUUGAAAAAUGUUUUGAUUUGUUUUUCAAAUUGACAUGCUUCACAAAUUCUAUCCUUUUGAAAACCAAUUUUUGGAAGACCUUUAACUAAAUCGUUUUUCGAAAUUUUUGAAAUUAAAUCCAUGCUUGCAUGUCCUAGUCUUCUAUGCCAUAACCAACCAUCAUCAUGCAAUGCCGAAAAAUAUUUAUCAUGAGUAGAUGCACAUUCUAUAUCAAUCGUGUAAACAUUGCCACAUCUAUUUCCCAUAAAUAAAUUUUUUCCAUCACAUGCAUUCUCAAUAACACAUCUUGAUUUAUCAAAAACAACUUUAUAACCUUUGUCACAUAGUUGACUAAUGCUAAUCAAAUUGUGUCUCAAAUUUUCAACCAAACAUACAUUUUCAAUUAGAGUUGAAGAAAUUUUACCAACAUUUCCAAUUCUGAGAAUUUUUCCUUUUGAGUUAUCUCCAAAGGAUACAUCUCCACCAUUUUCGAUUUUGGUGAAACUUGAGAACCAUGCAUAGUUUCCGGUCAUAUGCCUAGAACAUCCGCUAUCCAAGUACCAUUUAUUUUUCUUUUUCUUCAAGCCCUGCAAAGAAAAUCUUUAUGUUUUAGGUACCCAAACAUUUUUGGGUCCUUGAUCGUUAGCAACGGUUCCUUUUGAAACCCACACACAUUUGACACCAUUAUAUGCAUUCCUUUUUACGGGACAUCUAUAUUUCAUGUGACCAUUUUGAUUACAAUAAUGACAAACAAUCUUAUGAUCAUUUGUGGAGGUAGCUUUAACAAAAUAAUUCUUAUAAUACUUUUCUUCAAAUUAGGCUUAUACCCAAGUUUUCCUUUAUCAAAAACACAUUUUUGGGAGUUAAGCAUGUUAUCCAACAUCUUUUGCCCAUUUGUAAAUUUUAGAACAACAUUACUAAGUUCAAUAUUCUUUUUCUUGAGCAUUUCAUUUUCCUUUUUCAAAUCAUCUACAUAUGACUCUAAAUGCUCAUGUGAAGUGCUAGAUUUUUCACUUGAUAAUGCAACUCUAUUAUGCAAGGUUUUAUUCUCUAAUUCUAAUCCUUUAAUCUUCUUAUUCAAUGACUCAUUACAUUUUUGCAUGGCAUCCUUUUCAUUUGUAGAUUCUAGCAAUUUCUUUUUAAGGCAUGCAUUCUUUUUACCAAUUUUCAUCAACUCAUCAUGCAUUUCUUUAAAAGCAUCAUACAAUUCAUCAUAGGUUGGAUCACUUACCUCAUUGAGAUCAUCAUCAUCUCCUAGUGCCAUAAGUGCUAGGUUUGAUACUUCUUGCGACUCAUCUUCAUCACUUGAAUCUUCAUCGCUAUCAUCCCAAGUAGCAACCAUAGCUUUCUUCUUGAGUUUGUUGAGAAGUGGGCAUUCCGAUCUUAUAUGGCCGGGCUUCUUGCAUUCAUAGCAUAUGAUUGCCUCUUUCUUCUCCUUUUGGUUUUUGAAAUUUCUGAAUUUUCUUCGGUCACCGAUUUUCUUGAAAAAAUUUCUGAACCUCCUUGCUAGCAUAGUCAACUCCUCAUCAUCCGGCUCACUUUCCCCAUCACUCUUAUAUUUGGUGACUUUGAGAGCAAUGUUUUUCUUCCUUUCCUCAUAAGAAAUAAGAGAACCAAUUAAAUCAUCAAUAGGUAAGAUAUUCAAAUCUUUAGCUUCCUCAAUGGCAGUCCUUUUUGGUCUCCAUUCCUUAGGUAAUGACCUAAUGAUUUUCUUAACUUUCUCGCUAUUUGAAAAGGUCUUUCCUAGGGCUCCUAGAGUGUUUACUAUGUCCGUAAAUCUAGUAUACAUAGAAUACACACUCUCAUUUUGUUCCAUUUGGAACAAUUCAUAUUGCCGAGUGUACCUACUAAUUUUAGACUCUUUCACUUGAUUCGUGCCUUCAUAAACAACUUCAAGUUUGUGCCAAAUUUCAUUAGCACUUUUACAACUAGACACUCUAUGAAACUCUUUCUUAUCGAGUGCACAAAAUAAGGCAUUCAUGGCUUUGGAAUUUAGAGAAGCUUUUCUCUUUUCCAAUUCAUUCCAUUCCCGUGAAGGUUUUGGAAUGUCUUCCCCAAUUUCAUUUUUAGUCAAAGGCAUAAAUGGAUCAUCAUAUACAACUUCCCAAAUUUCAUAAUCUAAUGCUUGUAAAUAAAUUCUCAUCCUAGUUUUCCAAUACGGAUAGUCAUUUCCGUCAAAGAACGGUGGCCUAGUUGUGGAUUGUCCUUCCCUAAAGGUUGAAUCAUUUUAGGUUGCCAUGGAUCUUUUACUCUAGACUGUUAAGUCCUAACAAGAGAACUAAGCUCUAAUACCAAAUGAAAUACAAGUAACGCAACCCAAGAGGGGAGGUGAAUUGGGUUUUUAAAAAUAAUGCAAUACGAUUCGCACAAUAAAUCAAUCUAACGCCUUAAUGAAAUAGAGAACAAUAAAUUCAAGCAAGCGUAAAAAUAAAAGAGCAAGAGAAGAGAAAAACAAACACGCGAAUUUUUACGUGGUUCGACAAUCCCCGCCUACGUCCACGCCUCCAAGCCAACCGAGCUCGAGGAUUUCAUUAUCCAAGCCUCCCAAGGCUUCAAGUUUUUACAAUUGACUUCCAAGGUGUCAAUGAACCUUUACAACCAAGAGAUUAUCUCCCCAAUCUCUUCACCCCAAGUGUUUCCCACACUUACACACUCACAAUUUGAUAAGAAAUGAAAAUUACAACAAAAACUCUCUUUAAGAGUGGAUAUGCAACUAAUAGCUCAACAAUGAUUCAAUCAAUUAUGAUUUGCGUUUUGGAAGCUUAAUAUAUGUUGUAUGAUCUUAUAUUUGGGUGCAUUACUUCUUAAAAUGAAGUUUGAGUUGAGUUUUUAUAGUGAAAGCCCAAAAACUAGCUGUUAUAGGCAAAUUUCAGCGCUCAAGCGGUUAGCCGCUUGAUUAUCCGGCUAGCCGCUCAGGAACAGUAAUAUUACCGUCAUUUUUGAAUUUGCUACAGUAACAAUGUUCACUAAAAUUAUACUUUGGCCUAAAACUUUCUAUAAUUAUAUUAUGGCCCAAAACGUCAUAAAACUUUACAAAUAGGUCCAAUUUCAGAACUUCCUAAAAAUAGUUGUCUUUCCCAAACUUUCUGAAAUUAUGAUAUAGCCCCAAAGAUUUUAUUAUUUCACACAAAGGUCCUUUUCAACAUAAUAUCCAUAUUUUUCAAAGUUCUCAAAACCUUUCACUUUAGUCCAAAAUAUUCAUAAAUUAUAGUAUGGCCCAAAACAUUUAAAAUGUUUGUAAAAACGUCCAACUCUGAAAUUUAAUACUUAUUUAAAAUCAAAGAUUUCAAAUCUUAGCAUUUAAGUCCAAAUUACUUAAAUCCACAAAAUACUUUACUUUAUAAAAAUAAAACCUUUUAGUUUAUGAAAAGUAUUUAAUUAAAUUAAUCUCUUGAGCUUCUCAAAUGCUAAAUCAUGCAUCAAUUAAAUCAUACCGGCUUUACAAGAAUUUGUCGCAAUAAUUUAUCCGUUGAGCUCUAAACUUUAUUCUUGAUUUCGCCGUUGUCCGUUGAGUGUCUUCAAUCUUGAUUUCACUUGAUCACUUGCAUAAAUAUUAUCCUUAAAAAACUAGUGAAAAUGUGAAAUACAAUAUUUAUUAUUUUUACUUAAGACACAUGUUUGUAAUUAUCAUCAAAAUUACAUUAUGUAUAGCCCUUUAGGCUAACAGAAGCCAUCUAUAUUAUUUUAGGUCAGUUUUUCAAAAAAUUAAUAAUUUGAAGUGCAAUUUCUUUUGCGUUUUUCUAGUUUUUUUGGUUUUUUACUUUCUCUCAUAUAAAUCGAUGGAUUUUUUUUUACAAAAAAAAAACUGACGAAUUGUUUUUUUGGCGGCAAUUAUAAUUUUACCCACCCCUAAUCUAUAUGGCGAAUAUCAUUGCUAUAAAGGCUGCUUUCCAGUAUUAUUGCCAGUUGUAGAGUGCUCGAUAAAAUGUUGCUAGCCUGUCUGAUUUGACUGUUUGAAGAAAAACUGAUACUACUUAGGACCAAAUAGAUAGUACUAAUUUUCUCUAUCUCGUCAAUUUAAUCUUGAAUCUUUAUAUUACAAUUAAUUUUCGUUAAUGGUGAGAGAUUGAUUAAACUCACAAUGCCUGAUAAAAGUUUAAUCUAUUAUAUUUUCUUGCGUCCUCAAUGAAUACAAAUUAAGAAGAAUUAUUAUACUAAUACUUUUUCUCUAUGAUUGUCUUUGUCAACUUUUUAUGUAAGAGCCAAUAUACGUUCAUGAUGGCAAAUUUGUUGAGAAAAAAUUUUGUUUAGAAAAAAUUUUGUUUAAUCAAGUGACCCUCAAUAUUCACAUGGAAUAAGAGACGAGGGAAAAAAAAUCAUUUUGUGAUUGCAGAAAGGCAAAAAAAAAAGCAUAAUGACAGGGAUUUCUAAUUGUGAUCAUUUUGGUGUUUUCAUUGUGUACUUGAGUAAAAGUUAAAAUUUUAAAAUUGAAGUCUGUAAGGUAAAAGAGUGUGCUUACUUUGCAGUUCAAAUAAUUUCAUCUUCUGCUCAUUAGUAUUUUUUCAUUAUUUAUGUUAAAUGACAACCUAAUUAUCUAUCCACCCAUGUGAAUAAGAUAUAUAAUUAUCAUUUAAGGUAUGAAAAAAUACCUAUAUAUGAGAUGGUCACAUGAGAGGGACUUGUUAAAACCCAAUCAAAUAAUAUUGAGUCCUUAAGCUACCAAGUUAAGCUUGCACGGGUCCAAACUUUUAGCAUCUCAUUUUAUUGUUUGAGUUGAUUUUUUAACUAACUUUUAGCAUCUCAUUUUAUUGUAACAGAUGGUUCUGGCCCUUUAUCUAUAAGUCUAAUAUCCACAUGCACAAGCAUUGGAGGCAACACCCUAUUUGCAUUAGUGAUAUUUCUCAUUUACAGAUCAAGAGAAUCUGAAAAAGAAAAAGAGACUCAACUGAAGGUGGAGAAGUUCCUCGAAAACUACAGGACCAUCAAUCCCACCAUAUAUACUUACAAAGAACUGAAGAAAAUAACAAGCAGAUUUAAGCAUAGGCUCGGUCAGGGAGGUUACGAAAGCAUGUUCAGAGGAAAACUCUUCAAUGCAAUUCCAGUUGCUGUCAAGAUGUUGGAACAUUUAAAAGGAAAUGGACAAGAGUUCAGGAUUCACCACUUCAACAUUGUUCGGCUUCUAGGGUUUUGCUCUGAAGGAAACAGACGUGCUCUUAUUUACGAGUUUAUGCCCAACGGAUCACUUGAAAAAUUCAUCUUCUCAAAGACAAAUAGCUCAAGUCAUCGUCCAUUGAGUUGGGAGAAGCUGAGGAAGAUUGCAUUUGGCGUUGCCCGUGGAGUAGAGUACUUGCACCAAGGGUGCAGCCAAAGGAUCCUGCACUUCGAUAUCAAGCCUCACAAUAUAUUAUUAGACCAUAAUUUUCAACCGAAGAUUUUAGAUUUUGGACUGGCUAAGUUGUGCUCGAAGGACAUAAGCAUUGUAUCUAUGACAGCUGCCAGAGGCACUUCUGGCUACAUUGCACCUGAACUUUUCUCCAGGAAUUUUGGUGAGAUCUCAUACAAGUCUGAUGUUUACAGUUAUGGAAUGAUGCUGUUAGAGAUGGUCGGAUGCAGAAAAAAUAACGAUCCUGCGGUUGAAAUUCAUAGCCAAAUAUAUUUCCCAGAGUGGAUUUACAAUAGAAUGAGGCAAGGACAAGAGCUCUGUUUCGAUUUUGAGGAAUAUGUGGAUGAGGGAAUUGCCAGAAAGCUUGCAAUUGUGGCACUUUGGUGCAUUCAAUGGAAUCCCACGGAGAGACCUUCCAUGCCAAUUGUAUUACAAAUGCUUGAAGCUGAUUUACAAAGCUUGGAGAUCCCUCCAAUGCCCUUUGUUUCUGCUGAUGUUGAGGCAGGUGCAAUCAAUUGAUCUAGAUAGCAGAAGAUUACAAUUAAAAAGGGAUAUUGUUAAUUUGUUUCCAAUUUUCCCCGAUUAUAAGCUAAAUUAUUUAGUCCUUGUUAUUGGAACGCUUGAAAACCACUAAAUUGAGUUUUUGUUUGACUGUGGUUGUUUUAUUUAUCGCUUAAAAGCUUUGAUGUGUUCGAAUGAUACAACAUUAAUACAACUAUGGAUGAACUUUAGUCUAUUUUUAAACACAUCAUUGACAAAAAAUUAAGUAUAACUAUCGCUGAAAGAGCAUUCCUUUAUUGAUAGGCUUAUAGUUCCCAAAGAGGGUAGUUGGCAGAAACUCCUUGAGCUAGGUUGCUUUAGAAAAGGCUCGCAGGAUCGAGUAUUUAUAGAACGGAUGUGAUGUGUGCAGUCUUCAUUUCAACAUUUAAGUCUCACAACAUCCUGCUAGAUCCUAAUUCCUUCCCCAAGGUCUCAGAGUUCGGCCCUUGCAAAAUUUCAUCCCAAGGAAAAUGAUUUUGCUCCCAUCAGCGCCACAGGAGGAACAACAUAUAGGUUAAAAUAUUACCUGAGCUAUGACUAAGGCGCUGAUCGCUCCUCUGUGACAAAAAGUUUUGAAAAUUUUAGAAGGGAGUAUUGACGAUUUGCAAAUGCCUCCAAAACCUUUCUCAUCUUCUUCUCGACAUAUAUUUGGAAGAGAGAUUGAAUCAGAUUCUUCAACAGAGUUGUUAAUGUCUGAAUCAGUGAAGGAAUGAUCUUUCGGUGAUAUUUAGGUUUAAUUUUGCCAAUGAUGAAUGUAAAAUGAAUAAAUGAAUAACGUGCAGUUAAUGACAAAUGUUCUUCUUCUUCUCAUUGCUUUAUCUCGAAUUGGAGCCUAAGGCACACACGUUUUGCGAGUGAUAGAUAAUUUAGUUGUUGAAAUCUUUUGAGUUAAUACAACAAGUUUCAGAUUUGAAUAUGUCCAUAUGGGUGGCAAAAGAAUUUAACUAGAGGUGUGCUAAGCUUAACUUAAAACUCUGAGGUGGCCACUUGGGAUUGUAGCCCAGUGGUGAACCAUUGCCCUUAAAGUUAAGUAUGACUAUGAGGGCAAUAGUUUAAGUCCCCACGGACUCAAAAACUCCCUCAAUAUUAAGCAUAAUUGUGUGGAGAUUACUUAUAACAUAUUUCUCCCUUGCAAAAUGUGAGUGGAGUAGAGACAUCCCUCCCCUGUGAGGGGUAUUUGGCUAGACAUGUACUUCAUAGAAUAAAAAAUGUAAUAAUGUAAGUCCCAGGUAUAUAAUGACCUGCUAUCAUAGCAGUUGUAAAUAUCUUUAUGACUUGGCUGGGCUUGUACUUCAUAGAAUGAAAAAUGUAAUAAUAUAAGUCCCAGGUAUAUAAUAGUUAAAAAUGAUGAGUUUGUUUGUUUACUAAGAAAAUGAAAGGAAAAAUCAGAGAAACAGAGAAGAGAACUUGUAUUUUAUUCAUUGUAUAUUUCGAUUAGUUACACACGUUUAUAUACUAUGAUCUGGAAUCUUCUUCAUUCUGUUUAGACGUGCUAGAUUAGCUGAGCUAGUAACUGAAACUAACUUGCCACAUAAGCAGCCACGUCAGCAUGUAUAACAGACUCUGUUUAACUAACAAUAUUAAUCAGCAUGUGAUUAAUUAAUUAUCUUAACAAUAAUGACAUGCUAUCAUAGCAGUUGUAAAUAUCUCAAUGACCUGGUUGGGCUUGUACUUCAUAGAAUAAAAAAUGUAAUAAUAUAAGUCUCAGGUAUAUAAUGACCUGCUGUCAUAGCAGUUGUAAAUAUCUCUAUGACCUGCUAUCAUAGCAAUUGUAAAUAUCUCUGUGUAAUACAGUAACCUGAUCUUUAAUCAGUUCAAAAAAAAAACUCUGAGGUGUAAAUUUUCUUCAUUAUUUUACCCCCACAUUGAAAAGUAAUCACAAAAAAUCAGGUCAAUGGCUUCAUUUAGCUUAUUCUUUAUUAUUGUUUUAUGCAAAUGUCAUGGAGGACUACUCUCUUGUGGGGUUGCCAUUGACUUAAAUAAAAUGCUUUUAAGCCAUACAAAAAUGAAUGGCUAUCUUUAAUAUUACACUAAAAAACAUCUCUCUUUCUCUGUAAAUCCAUGUCACUUUUUCUGAGUUCAAUAAUCUUCUUCCUUCUCUUCCUUACACAGAAGCCAAAACUUCAUAAGGAAACAACGAUACAAAUAUUUAUGAACGUUGUCAACCAACAAAAUGAAACAUACCAUAUCAGAUUCCCCCUUUAGAAUCAAAUUUAAAUGAUUAAGAUUGCUUAUGAUAACACAUACCCUACUAAGUUUAUUUAAUAAAUGAUUACAAUUUACACACGCACUCUUUACAUUAUUAUACCCUUUAUUUGAACAACUAAAUGUACUUUAUAAUAACUACUAAUAUAACAUUGAAACAAAAACAAAUGUAAUAAAUAAAAUUAUCAUAUAUUUUAUAUAUCAAAGCAUGUUGUGUGUUCUCAUAAAAAAAAUGAAUUACUGUCUUCGAGUUUGUGGUGAGAAAUUAAAGUAGCGAGCGAAAGAUGUUGACUGGAUUGUUGCAUGCGUGGAAAUUGUUACAAAAUUUUUGUCUCAAUUUGAAGGUUUACUAAGAAAUUUCAGGUCAAGCUAGGGUCAUCAUCACCGACGCAAACUUGCAAUCAAAACGUUUACUAAGAGUUGACUGACUUGUAAGAGUGUCCGGUGUCCCCUCUCGCAUGGAUGCUAAAAGUCUUGCGCUCAAACAAAUUCAAUUAAUAUGCUCUUUUAAACCUUUUCAAUUUCCCCACCUUUGUUUAUUAUUAUUUUUAAAAUAAGAUAAUACUACUUUUGAACGAUUAAUUAUUGCUAUAUCAUCUUCAGCUAGUAGAAUCAGAUAGUUGAACGCUAUAAUAAAUUUACUAUAUGCAUGUGCUCCGUUGUUAAGUGAUGAUGUAAAUACGUAUCCAAAACUUUGAAAAUGCAACCUUCUGUUUAAUUUACUGAAAUUCAUUGUAUCUUGGGAUUGCAUUAACAAUGAGUGGGGAAGAAUCAUCAAUUCUCCCAACUCUUCUGUUUUGUCUAUUGAUCUAUCUACUCACCACUGAAAUUGAAGCAAGAGAAGUACUUCCACAAAUCUGUUCUUCUUCUUGUGGAGAUAUCAAAAACAUAAGUUACCCUUUUCGCCUAAAGGGAGAUCCAUCGGGAUGCGGUUAUCCUGAGUUCGAACUGUCUUGCCAGAGCAACCAAACCAUCCUAGAAUUUUUCAAUUCUAUAAAGUACUAUGUAAAGAGAAUUUCCUAUGACAAAAGCAAAAUCAGUGUUGUCGAUGUUAACUUAGCCAAUGGAAGCUGCAGCCUUUCACACACACCUUUUCCCAGAGAAAUCUUUCUCGACCGUUACGAUGGUCGCUAUUUUGAUGAUACCGAUCGGGUUUAUUCACUUGAUUAUAAUAAAUACCUGUAUGCCUAUUUCGUGAAUUGCUUGAGGAUCUCAUUGAUCAGGCUUUUGUAAAAGUUCCAUGUUUGAGUGGAGGAAAUCAGUCAAAUUUUUAUGUUAAUUACCAUGGCUCCUAUGUAUCGGACUUUUCAGAGUCAUGCUCGUUCGUUUCAAUGGUUCUUGUACAUAAUGGGAAUGUAGAAAAUCCUUCUUAUGAAGCCCUCCGAGAAUUGCUGGUGACAGGAUUCGAUCUUAGAUGGUCAGUUGGAUGUAGGAAUUGUUUUACAGCCCGUAGAGGAUACAUUAUUACUAUUAUAGCGGGAUAUUUUGAUUGCUUCCAUUAUAGCUCAAUUACAAACGGUAAGCUUAUGCUUAUAUGUGCAUACAAAUAAAUGGAGACCUUUUAUUUAUUAUUUUCAAUCUUAAUCUUUUAUGUAUUUAAGAAUUUGCGAACCAUCUCUAAAAGAGUAUGUUUACCAGUAUGACCCUUAAUCUCUGUUUCUUUUGAACUUCUGCAGUCUUUGCUGCAUGCCACGCCGCACCGGGAGUAUUCAAAAAAUUUACCUGCUACCAAGAACUUUUGACACGUAAUAAGCCUAUGCUUACAUAUUUUAAAUUCUGCGAUUGUGUUUCUUGGUGUUAAAUUGAUGGCAUCAUGUAAUUUGUUUAUUUAUUUUCCAAUCUUGUGCUAAAUAACUUUUUCUAAAUCAUCUCUGUGUAUGUAUUUAUAAAGCCUAAUCUUUUUUCCUCGGCUUGCAGUUUCCUACAAACUCCCGCCACUUUUCGACAGCCUCAAAUUGUCACUGUUAGGUAUGGUUUCCUGGCUGGAAUUCCUGUUCCUGUUAUUUCGAAUUCAGCUACUUACCUAGAAUUAAACUUUCUUGUUUCCAGCGGUGCAUUCGUGUAUGUUACAAUUACUAGGUUCAUACUUGGUUCAACAGUUUUACUUGUGUUCCUUAUCCACAAAUACAGAACAACAUUGAAAACAAUUGAUAAUAUUGAGAAAUUUAUGCGCAACCAGCAAUCAUGGAUGCCUAAAAGGUACUCUUACCCUGAGAUAAUUGCCAUGACAAACCACUUCGCUCAUAAAUUAGGCCAAGGUGGCUUUGGUUCAGUUUAUGAAGGACAACUUCAUACCGGUCGCUUGAUUGCUGUUAAGAUGUUGGAGAACUCCAAGCUCAGUGCGGAGGAAUUCAUCAACGAAGUUUCAACAAUAGGUAGAAUUCACCACGUUAAUGUGGUCCAGUUAUUGAGGUUCUGUUCUGAGGGAUCCAAAUGUCCACGUGUCUACGAGUUUAUGCCUAAUGGAUCACUAGAUAGGCAUAUCUUUCCUAAGGAAAGUAGAGGCCAAUCUUUUAGUUAGGAGAAACUCCACGAAGUUGCUUUAGGAACUGCUCGUGGGAUCGAGUAUUUACACAACGGAUGUGAUGUGUGCAUUCUGCAUUUUGACAUUAAGCCUCACAACAUCCUGCUAGAUCAUAAUUUCAUCCCAAAGGUCUCAGAUUUCGGCCCUGCAAAGUUUCAUCCCAAGGAAAAUGAUUUUGUGUCCAUCAGUGCCACAAGAGGAACCAUAUGAUACAUAGCACCUGAGCUGAUUUCAAGGAAUUUUGGAAUUGUUUCUUGCUGUUAAGGAAGCUCAUUGUGCUGAGCUUAUGAAGAAUAGAAAGGUGAAGAAGCCGUUAGUCUCAGCAAGUGAAGUUAGUUAAUCAUGCCAGCUCAGCAGUGCCAAGUCAUCAGAGUAAGUUAUGAAAUAACAAGUCAGGACAAGUUGUUAAAGUCUGUUAUUAAUAAAUCUUGUGUAUAUAACUAAUCUCGUGAGUAUAUAAGUUGUGAUUGAUUCAGUUGUAAAGUGAUUUGACAAAAGUCCAGAUUCAAUGAAAUAAAAUUUUUCUCUGCAACUUUUCUCUCAAAACAAACAGCUCAAGUUUUCUUUCAUGGUAUCAGAGCCACAAUGGCUAGUUCCAGUACAACUAAUCAAAAUCAUUCGAUUGUUCAUAAAACUCAAUCUACUCAAAUUUCGUUUACUUUUGCUACAACCGUCAAGCUUGAUCGAUCUAAUUUUCUUCUCUGGCGUAAGCAAGUUCUGACUUCAAUCAGAGGAAAUAGACUUGAAGGAUUUAUCUCAGAAAAUCAAAAUAUUCCAGAACAAUAUUUGUCUCAAGCUCGAACUGAUGGAUCUGUGGAGAGAACUGAGAAUCCAGCAUAUGUUAAUUGGAAAGCUCAGGAUCAGACUCUGCUUAGCUGGCUCUUUUCAACUAUAAGUGAAGGUAUUCUAAGCUCAGUUCUCAAUUAUGAUACUUCAUUUGAUGUCUGGAAAUCGAUUGAAAAGCAAUUUGGAGUCCAAUCUGAAGUAAAGGUAAUGCAACUUCGAUAUGAAUUGAAAAGAAUCAUUGUCGAUUGAAGAAUAUUGCUCAAAGAUGAAGAUACUUGCUGUUGAUGCGAGAUUCUGGUUACCCUCUCUACCUUGACCAGGAUCUCUCCUCAACCAACUCGACCACGAUCAAAAUAUCUCCUCGUAAGACUUCUUCUCUAGAGGCUCCUGCGUACACAGAAACAAGUCAGAGCAUGCCAGGUGUUUUCCCGGCGUAAACCCUCCGAUGCUCAAGUCAGAAAUGAAGGUUUCGUGUUCUUGGGAAAGUUAGCCACUGAUCUUAUGGCUUCUUUUUGGGUCUCAAUUAUUCAGAGCUCUCUUUAUCUUGAUUUCAAUGUCAAAAAAUCUAACACUUUUACCUUCGUUGGCUAUCUUUUUAUAGGCUUCUCUUGAGUUCAGACCUUCCCUCAAUCCACGCUCAUUACCUUCCCACCUCUCGGAAGUAGAUGCUCCGUUUCCGUAAUCGUGGGUGGUUGCAUGACCUUCGUGCCUUGAUUCUUGGGUUGGAGUGCACGUCUCACCAACUGUCGUUGACCGGGUUUCCUCGCCUCAACCCCUAGCAGGAAUGUCUUUAUGCUUUUAAUACGAGACCGGCCUCGCGGAUGGCGUAUUCGUGGUCGAGCAGAAUAUUCCUGCUCAUGUUCCCCAGCUAACAGACUCCUGCCAGAUAUACCUGCUCGUGAAACCCUGCUACUAAAUGUCUGCUCAUCACGGCUGGUCCUAUCGAAGUACAUCACCCAAACACCGGUCCCCUAGUUUCUGGUGUUGGGUAACAUAGUGAGCCGACAAUAGAAACUCAACAGUUCUGGCUCGCGCGGGAUAGGAAAAGGCUGCCAAGAGUCGUGUCGCAUUUAAUUGCGGAUGAGGUGAUGUGGCAGAAAUCUACCCUUCCGUUUGAAUUUCAAAUCGAUGGUUACGAAACUCUUGGGAUUUGUGCCGUUAAAUGCUGGCAGCCCAAGAGUUUGUUCCUCAUUAGGAAAACCCGAAACCCCCAAAAGAGAAACUCGUCAUUUACUCACUUCCUGUCUCUCCGGCGGAUGAGUAUCGGCAUAAAAGCUUCCAUCCCUAUCUUUCAUCCUUGUCUCUCUCCGACUGAGCCACAACUUCAGGUAUUAUUUCUACUUCCUCGGUCAUGGAUAGUUGUAGACAAUUUCUUUUCUCUCUGUUUUGUUUGGGUAGUGUUUGGUGAUAUUGUUCUAGUUAUAGUUUAGGGAAUGUCAAAAGGUAAAGAGAAGGUCAUUGAGAUUGACGACGAGGAGUUAGACUUCUUACCUAGUCUGCUCGCCGAUCCUGCCUUUGACCCCGGGAUCCCCUUAGAACCCAUUAGAUCUAGUGUUGGGACUAGUGCUAGGAGGAUGUUCCCCUAAAUAACCUCCUCAAGCAACAAUAAUGGCGACGAGGGAUUUUCUGGUUCGGAAGACACCCUGAGUGAGGAUCAGGGAGAUGAUUAUGGUGAAAUGUCUUCACCAGGAACAUCGCGACCAGAUAGGAGGGUCACAGUAGGAGGUAGAGCUCUAUCAGAGCAUUACGCUAUUGAUUUCAUCACAUGCACGACCACAGUAGAUGAGCUCACUAACCUCCGGGUUAGGUAUGGAAUUCCUGAUGAUAUUUCUCUUAAGAUCCUAGGAAAGAAAGAUACUCCUAGUCGGCCUCCUACGGGAUAUGUUACUCUAUUUCUGGAGGGUUUUAAACUUGGGCUGAGGUACCCCCUGCAACCCUAUUUUGCCCGAAUACUUAAUGGGUUAAAUUUAGCUCCUGGUCAGCUGAAUCCUAACGGGUGGAGAGUACUCUCUGGUCUGUUCAUAUUAUGGGAUAGAUGUUGCCAAAACGAGCCCACAGUUGAUGAGGUGAAGCACUUGUAUCAGCUAAAGAGUAGUCCCAAAGAUGCCGGCUGGUAUUACUUCCAAUCAAGUGCUAAGACCAGGAAACCCAUAACUGAUCUUCCAACUGGUGGUGGUGGGAAUUGGAAGAAAAAAUUCUUUUUUACUGGGGGUCCCUGGGGUCAAGUUGCACAGAUUGACGAGAAGGUUUUCGCGUCCCACCCCGUUUCGUGGUCCCAGGUUACCUGCUCGCUUUAGAUGUUUUUUCUCCAUAGUUGUUCUCACUUUGCUGAUUUGUCUCUAAUCCAAUAUCUGUUUGCAUUGCAGGUUCUUGGGGUGUGCACUACCCGCUUAAACCUUAGCAGCUCAAGCGGGUCGAGGCUUUACUGGUCAAUUCCUGUUCGAACCGAGAGCUGCUAACUACUUACAACUUGGUCGAAUCUGGUUUGGUAUCCACCGGCCAUAAGAUAGAGGAUGCUGUGAUCGGGGCUCUGAAUCGGAAACGUCCUCGACCUCAUACUGCCAAGCGAGACCAGAGUAAAGAUGCUCCCACUGCGAAGCGAGUGAACAUUGUACAGCAGGUUCCCCCCUUGAAGACUCUAUCACCUUCUCCUGCCAAAGCCGGGGAGACCAGUGGAGUAGCCACUGACCCUGCUUCCUCUUCUCCACCAGCUGGGCCGAGAUCUCGCUUAUCUGACCAUCGAGCAGAGCAUCUAGUCUCCUACAUCAGUGAGUUUUCUCGGCUCAUGAGCAAGAAGGACUUGGAGGACUUCGACGGCAGUACUCUGGGUGAGCUGGUGGGAGCUAUGCAGUAUAACGCUUUUCACCUCGGCUGCAUGGCCACCUACUAUAAGGCGAAGGUCGGUCGCUAUGACCGGAAGAUGAAGGAGGACAUUCAAUUAGUCAAGACCAAAGCUGAUGCUGUCGAGAAAAGAGCAGGAGACCUGAAUCUCGAGAAUUUGAAGCUGAUAGAGUGAGAAUCUCUCGGUCAAGCAAAGGCCAUUACUUUUGAGGAAGAGCUGACUACGGUCAAAGAGGAUCUGCAAAGGCAGAAGGCUAUGUACGAGGCUCAGCUCGAAUCUCUCCGGGAUGCCCACCAGGUUCAGGUCGAGAACCUAGAGAAGGAAGCUGACAACCAGUAUGACCAGGGGCUUCGGCACUCCUAUCGCUGCAUCAUGGCUGUCUUAGGGAACCAGCACCCUGAUCUAAAGAUGGAUGAGCUUGCUGCUGAUGUUGCUCAAUACAUCGACGAGGAGGCAACAAAAGAGGAUGUCGAUGAGGUGGAGCCAAAUGCGGCUGAUGAAGGAAACUCUCCUCCUCGUGCAGUCCCUGCUGAUGUUGCUGAGGCGAGUACCUCCCGGGUGUAACUGGCGAUACUCCCCUGCACCUGAGGUGGACCAGACAAUCGAGACUGCCCAGCUUACUGACCCGCUGUCCUCUUGAAUGUAUCUUGCAUUGUAGUUACUUUUUUAGAACACUGUAUGUUAAGAAUAGCAGCUUUUAUUGGUAAAUCAAUAAGAAUGUUCUUAUUUGUUUUCUUUGCCUCGAGCUCUUGGCAAAUUAUUUUAUUUUUUGGUAAAUUAUUUUUAUUCGUUAAAAUUGAUCAAUUAAAAGUUCGGCUUCCUGUUGCCCUACGUUUAAGAGUCUGCUCGCCUUAGCCUGGUCGAGCCGAUUCUGGCACACUUGACUUUUGGUCUCGCCAUAAAAUAAGCUUUGAGACUUAGUCUUUGCGUGCCUUAGAAAAUUUUCAAUACUUGGGAGUAUGCUCGCCUUCGCUUGGUCAAGUAGAUCCUGACACGCUUAGCUUCUGGUCUCGCCCUAAAACAGGCUUUGAGACUUAGUGAGCCUUUGCAUGCCCUUGAAAUUUUUCAAUGAUUAGGAUUCUGCUCACCUUCGAUUGGUCGAGCAGAUCCUGGCACGCUUGGCUUCUGGUCUCGCCAUAAAACAGGUUUUUAGACUUAGCCUUUGCCUGCCUUAGAAAAGUUUUUCAAUGAUUGGGAUUCUGCUCGUCUUCGCUUGGUCGAGUAGAUCCUGGCACGCUUGGCUUCUGGUCACGCCAUAAAACAGGCUUUGAGACUUGGUGAGCCUUCGCAUGCCUUAGAAAUUUUUCGAUGCUUGGGAUUCUGCUCGCUUUCGCUUGGUUGAGUAGAUCCUGGCAUGCUUGGCUUCUGGUCUCGCCAUAAAAUAGGCUUUGAGACUUAGCCUUUGUCUGCCUUAGAAAUUUUUCGAUGCUUGGGAUUCUGCUCGCUUUCACUUGGUCGAGCAGAUCCUAGCAAGCUCGGCUUCUAUUCUCGCCAUAAAACAGGCUUUGAGACUUGGUGAGCCUUCUCAUGGCUUAGAAAUUUUUCGAUGCUUGAAAUUCUGCUCGCCUUCGCUUGGUCGAGCAGAUCCUGGCACGCUUGGCUUCUGGUCUCGCUAUAAAACAAGCUUUGAGACUUGGUGAGCCUUUGCAUGCCCUAGAAAUUUUUCGAUGCUUGGGAUUUUGCUCGCCUUGGCUUGGUCGAGCAGAUCUUGGCACUCUUGGCUUCUGGUCUCGCCAUAAAACAUGCUUUGUGACUUGGUGAGCCUUUGCAUGCCUUAGAAGUUUUUUGCACCGUUACAAGUGAAUGAAAUUCCUCGACGUUUCAUUAAUCGCUGAAUUCAACUUACAUAAGAAUGCAUAGCAACGAGAACAAAUUGAAAUAAUUUUAAAACAUGAUCAAGUCUGACUGGAAAUAUUUCCUAAGGUGCGCUGCGUUCCAUGGGCAUUUCACCUCGUGGCCAUCCGUGCGAACAAGCUUGUAAGCUCCGGGUCCAACUAUCUGCUUGACCCUAUAUGGCCCCUUCCAAUUCUGUCCAAGCACUCCUUGAGUCGAGUCUUUCAUGUUAUGAUUCACUCUCCUUAACACCCAAUCUCCGACCUUGAACUGUCGUACAUUCACCUUCUGGUUGUAAUACCGAGCAACCCUCUGCUGGUAGACGGUUGGUCGCUUUGAUGCUUGCUCCCUCUUCUCAGUUAGCAAAUCCAGGUUUAGGCACAUACGCUCGUUGUUCUCCUGCUCAUCGAAAUGAUAUGUCCGGUGCGUGGUCGUCCCUAUCUCGACUGGUACAACCGCUUCAUGUCCGAAGGCCAAGGCGAAUGGAGUUUCCCCAGUUGCUGUUUUGUGGGUUGUCCUGUAUGCCCAUAAUACACCUGAUAGCUCAUCAACCCAUGCACCCUUUUUUGUUCCAAGCCUGGUUUUUAAAAGCCUCUUGAUCGUCUUGUUGGCUGCUUCUACUUGUCCGUUAGACUGAGGAUGAGCAUGCGAGCAAUACUUCAAUUCUAUCCCGAGGUUCUGGCAGAAGUCCCUGAAGUUCUGGUUAUCAAACUGCCUACCAUUAUCUGUUAUAAAAGCAUAAGGGAUCUCGUACCGACAGACCAGGUUUCUCCAUACGAAGUCAGUUGUCUUUUUCUCUGUGAUCCUACUAAGGGCUUCUACCUCUAUCAACUUCGUGAAAUAGUCUAUUGCUACUAUUGCAUGUGUUGCUGCUCCUCGUCCUUUUGGCAAUGGCCCAAUCAAAUCAAUUCCCCAUUGAGCAAAUGGCCAUAGGGAGGCCAUAGAAGUGAGCUUCUCCUGCGCAUCCUGGUGCAUUGUCGGCCAAAAAUAUCCCUGCCUUAGAACCUUGUAGGCAAGGGAUCUCGCACCAGAAUGGUUCCCGCAAACUCCUUCAUGUACUUCUCUCAGCACGUAAUCUGCGUCGUACUCGUCUAAACACCGAAGGAACGGCAGGGUAUAUCCCCUCCGAUAUAAUACCCCGUCAAUCAUUGUGUACCUCGACGCUUGGGCUCUAGUCUUCCGAACUUGUAACUUAUCUGGUGGCAGUAUUCCAUUCUGGAUGUACGAGAUUAUCGGGUCCAUCCACGAGCACUUCUGUUCUAUCUGCAGCACCCCCAAAUUCUGCUCGAUGCUAGGGCUGGACUUCACCUCCAAAUGGAUUGACUUAGGCAUUUUCGGAUCUGCUACCACUGCCAUCCUGGCCAGAAUGUCUGCUCGACUAUUCUCCUUCAUUGGGAUUUAUAUCACCUCAACCGCUUCAAACUUCCCGAUCAUCUGCUUGACUUUCUUCAAGUACUGUUCCAUUUUCCCAUCUCUCGGCUGAAAUCUUUCACUGACAUGAUUUACAACUAGUUAGGAAUCAGUUCGGAUCUUCACCCUAUCCGCUUUUACCGCCUUAGCCAAUUCCAAACCUGCUAUUAGGGCUUCAUAUUCUGCUUGGUUAUUUGUGGCUGUGAACUCCAACUUUAUAGCAUAAGAGAUCUCCUCCCCUUCUGGGCCUUCCAAGACAAUCCCUGCUCCAGACCCCUACUCCCCUGAUGACCCAUCCACAGAUACCUGCUAUACUCGAGCUUCGUUUCUGGCUGUAGCAGUAUCCAGCUCCUCGAAACAUACUUCGGGCUCCGCGAAUUCUGCUACGAAAUCGGCCAUUGCCUGGGCCUUUAUUGCUGCUUGGGGCUUGUAACUUAUAUCGAACUCACUCAACUCUAUAGCCCAUUUUACUAGCCGACCAGAGGCAUCCGGCUUGUGUAGAGUUUGCCGUAACGGUUGGUUUGUGAUUACCGAGAUAGGGAAUGCUUGAAAGUAUGGCCUCAGCUUCCGAGCAGCAACCACAAGAGCCAGUGCCCAUUUUUCUAGCGGCGGAUAUCUGGUCUCAACAUCUAGCAGGGCCUUGCUCGUGUAAUAUAUUGGGUAUUGAACCCCUUCUUCUUCUCUCACCAGCACAGAACUUGUGGCAUGAUCCGAUACUGCCAAAUAUAGGAAUAACACGUCCUCAUCUCGUGGCGUGGACAACAAAGGAGCUUGCUGCAAAUACUGCUUCAAAUUCUGGAAAGCUUUUUCACAUUCAGGGGUCCACUCUGUUUUCUUUCCUCUCCUUAUCACUUGAAAGAAUGGCUGGCACUUAUCUGUUGCCUUGGAUAUGAAUCGGCUCAAUGCCGCCAAUCUCCCCGUAAGGCUCUGCGUCUCCUUUAGGUUACGAGGAGAUCUCAUCUGCACGAUUGCCUGAAUCUUCUCGGGAUUCGCUUCGAUCCCCCGAUGACUUACCAUGAACCCGAGAAAUUUGCCCGACUCGACCCCAAAAGCACACUUCUCCGGGUUGAGUUUCAUCUUAUACUUCUUCAAAAGUCCAAAUGUCUCAUCGAGGUGCUUGACAUGUUCCUUUGGGAUUUUUGACUUGGUUAUCAUGUCGUCCACAUACACCUCCAUUGUUCUCUCUAUCAGUGGUUUAAAGAUUUUGUUCACCAGCCUCUGGUACGUGGCCCCCGCAUUUUUAAGACCGAAUGGCAUUACCCUGUAACAGAACAAACCCUGGUUAGUAAUAAAUGUCGUGCUCUCCUCAUCCUGCUCGAACAUGGGGAUUUGGUUGUAUCCCGAAAAUGCUACCAUGAAUUUGAGCAGGCCAUGAUCGGCUGUUGAGUCUACCAGCUGGUCGAUCUUAGGUAAGGGAAAGCUGUCUUUCGGGCACGCCUUAUUGAGGUCUGUGAAAUCUACACACAUCCUCCAUUUGCCAUUAGCCUUUUUUUACUAACACCACAUUCGAUAUCCACUCAGGAUAGUUGACUUCCCGAAUGAACCCUGCCUUCAAGAGUUUCUCCACCUCGCCGUUUAUAGCCUCAUACCUCUCCUGGUUGAAGCACCUUCGUUUCUGCCUUACUGCCGAGCACUCUUUUUUUAUUGCCAACCUAUGGCAUGCGGCCUCAGGGUCGAUUCCCGGCAUGUCCUCAUGUGUCCAAGCAAACACAUCUGCAUGAGCUCGUAAGCAAUGCACCAGCUCUUGCUUCUGCUCAUCUUUAAGUUUUGACCCGAUUCGGACUAUUUUUCCUGGAUCAUCUUGCUGCAAGCUUACUGUCUCUAGUUCCUCUACAGGCUCAUGUCUGGCAUUCUUGGCCUCUACUCGAGUAUCAAGAGAUGUAAUCUGCAUUGCUUCCCUUGCUGCUGUGGAGUAACAGCUUCGGGCAAUUCUUUGGUCUCAUUCACCCGAUACUUGAGAGCUAGAUAAUGGUUGGAAAGUAUCGCUUUACUCAUGCUCAGAAAGGGGCGGCUUAGAAUCAUCUGAUAAGGACCCUCUUCAUCAACCACUACAAAAUCCAGUAUCAUGGUCUUUUCUGUCGGGGAGCUGCCAAUUGUGAUGGGCAGUUCGACCACGCCUAGAGGAACCAGCUUUCCUCCCCCAAAUCCCUUCAAGGAGGUAUUGGUAUGCUCUAAUCUCAAGUCUGCUAUUCCCAUCUCCUCCAUAGUUGACUUGAACAAAACAUCAACCGAGCUUCCUGUGUCAACCAGAAUCCGGUCAAACUUCUUGCUAGCAGCGGUGGCCUUGAUGACUAAGGCAUCCUCGUGUGGAUAUAGAAUCACUUCAUCAUCAUCAUCUGUCCACAUGAUUGGAACUUGCCUGACUCUUACUCGUUUGGCUGCUGGGGUGUUGAAGAAUACCUCUUUGCUAGUCAUUGCAUAUCUAGCAUAGUUCUUCCUCGACCUGUUGGAAUCUCCUGCCAACGUCGGGCCCCCAGCAAUCACUCUUACUAUAGGCUGCUCGUGGCUCAAGUUUCUAUCACUCUGCUCCCCUUCACAUGUCGAGGCCACCAUCGGGAAAGUCCUAUCUAUAAACUCGUCCAGGUAUCGAUUUCUCACCAAAUCGUCAACCUAGGUCUUGAAAUCUCUACAUUCUGUUGUGGUAUGGCCAUGAGUGCUAUGGAACUUGCAAUAGCGUCCCCUAUCCCUUAUGCUGGGUAGCUUUGUUAUUGGGGUAGGGAGGUAGAGUAAUCUCUGGUCUUUUAUGGCCUCGUACACCUCGUCCAGGGGCAUCUUCAAGGAAGUAUACAGUCCAUAGUCCUGGUUCUGGUCGAUCAUGUGCACUGCCCUUUCUCUGUUUGUGCCGUUCUGAACUGGAGGAGGUGGCAACGCUUCUGGUCUGCUCCCUCUACCACCAUAGGGGUGUGGAUGAGGAUGACCAUAUGCCGAGUCAUGCCUCCUCUAAGGCUCCCUAGCUGGUGAACGAGGAGGUUGCGCCCUGCUGCGCUGAUACUGUGGUGGUCUCUGAUGAGGCUGGUAAGCGGUGACCUGACCUCCUGAACCACUACCCGAGGCAUGGUGGUCCCUCCUCUUGAUCGGCCCAUUUCCUAGUAAGGCUCUCUUCUCUUUCCUUCUCAACCCUUCUAGCUGGUCUGUCUUAAUCCGUGCUGCCUUUUUCUCCUCAAUCUCUAUAUCCCUCUUAGCCUGCUCGUAAGCGGCUGCAUACGUCUGAAUGACUGAGCUCCUCAAAUUGUACCACAGCCUUCCUAUCUUCACCCCUUCUUUCAAUCCCCUUAAUGCCUGAGGAUGGUUGAAGGCUCCCAAGUCGAGGACUGCGCGAUAAAACCUCUUGAUGAAUUCCCGAAGGGUUUCUUCCUCUCCUGCUUCAUGCUUUUCAACUCCAUCAUGUCAUCUUCCGGUGCCAUUGCCCCACGAAACUGCUCUGUAAAUUCCUGGCACAUCUGUUCGAAGGAUUUAACGCUUCCUUGAGGAAGUUUUCGGUACCACUCACGUGCUCAUCCCUCCAGAGACAGCAGGAACACCCUGCAUCUUUGAGCUUGGGAUAAUCCUUGCACCUCAGUUAUGUCGUUAAAGCACUCUAUGUGCACCAACGGAUCGGUUCGCCCCGAGUACCUGAGGUGUGGGAGGCGAAAAUCCCUUGGAAUGAUUGCUCUCAUGAUCUCUGCCGAGAGCGGGGAUUCUCCGUCCAGCAUUAUCCUCCAACCAGGUGCUCUGCUCCUUCCUUGCAUGUCAUCAAUUACCUGCGCUAAUCUGUGCACUUCUUCCUCCAGCUGUACUGCACGACCAGGGUCACGUGCUGCAACUUAAUCCCACUCUUGCUCUACAUCAUAUAAGUGUUGCCUGAGCUCUGUUUCCUCUGCAUUCGCCACCCCGUCAUCAUUAUCAAAAAUUUGCCUUCCUGGGGAUUGGUCUUCUCCUCUAUGGACUUAUCCCCAUAAAGAUAAGUUACCUCCCUCACCACCAAAUCUUCUGGUGGUCCGACUUCUCAUCAUAUCAUCGUGCCCUGGUGCCAUUCCGCUACUUCUCACCAUUUCCUCAUGGAUUCCCCUUCGUUCACUCCUCAGCUCAUGUAGGAUGGUUGUCAAGGUCUUCAUCUGCUUUUUCAUCUGUUCCAUCCGGUCGUACAUGGCUUUUUCCCGUGCUUCAUUGGCUAUCUUCCUUAACGUCACGGAUUUGUUAAGCCUCAUAUCACCUCCUUGGGCACUACUUCCUCCUACAUUCAUUGUUCAUUCACUUGCUUUAUUCUUCUUCUUUCUGUCAACAGAAGCUUUUUGUUCAGCUCCCCACGGACGGCGCCAAAAUAUUGAUGCGAGAUUCUGGUUACCCUCUCUACCUCGACCAGGAUCUCUCCUCAACCAACUCGACCACGAUCAGAAUAUCUCCUCGUAAGACUUCUUCUCUAAAGGCUCCUGCGUACACAGAAACAAGUCAGAGCACGUCGGGUGUUUUUCCGGCGUAAACCCUCUGACACUCAAGUCAGAAAUGAAGGUUUCGUGUUCCUGGGAAAGUUAGCCACUGAUCUUAUGGCUUCUUUUUGGGUCUCAAUUAUUCAGAGCUCUCUUUAUCUUGAUUUCAAUUUAAAAAAAUCUAACCCUUUUACCUUCGUUGGCUAUCUUUUUAUAGGCUUCUCUUGAGUUCAGACCUUCUCUCAAUCCACGCCCAUUACCUUCUCACCUCUUGGAAGUGGAUGCUCUAUUUCCGUAAUUGUGGGUGGUUGCAUGGCUUUCGUGCCUUGAUUCUCGGGUUGGAUUGCACGUCUCGCCAACUGUCGUUGACCGAGUUUCCUCGCCUCAACCCCUAGCAGGAAUGGCUUUAUGCUUCUAAUAGGAGACCGGCCUCGCGGAUGGCGUAUUCGUGGUCGAGCAGAAUAUUCCUGCUUCUGUGCCCCUGCUAACAGACUCCUGCCAGAUAUACCUGCUCGUGAAACCCUACUACCAGAUGUCUGCUCAUCACAGCUGGUCUUGUCGAAGUACAUCCCCCAAACACUUGCUAAUAAGCUUGCCUGUGCUGGUGAUAAUAUAACUGAAAAAGAUCUGCUAAUAAGAACUCUUAAUGGAUUAGGAUCUGGCUGUCUGGAUUUAGCUUCAAUAAUUACAGCAAAUAAAAUGAAUUAUGAUGAUGCAUAUGCACUUUUGUUGACUCAUGAGGCUAGAUUGGAACAAAAUCAGAAUUCUUAGAAUUCUCAAGCCAUGUUUAAUGCUAAUUACAGUAUGAUGAAUGCAAACUAUUCACAUAUAAGGGGAAUUCCUAGGAGAAAUACUUAUGGUAAUGAAUCUUUUGGUCAAUUUGGAGGAAGAAAUCAAAAUUUUGGUCGAGACAUAUUCUUUACUUCUUAUCCUAGAGGUUUUCCAGCUGGUAGUAGUACUGCUGGUGGUUUUGGCAGAGGACAUGCUGCAAGCUUUGGAAGGAAUUAACAGUUUACAAAUCAUCUUAGGUCACCACAUGUGAGGAAUGUAUUUUUACCUGGAAUGAACUCAAGCAUUUCUACUGGUGAAUCUAAUGAGUCAAUACCUGUGUGUCAAAUAUGUCACAAACAAUGUCAUACUGCUGAUGCUCGCUGGUAUAGAUAUGGUGAUAAUUACUCUCAUUCUCCAAAACAAUUUGGUAGAGGAAAAAUGAUGGGACCUAAAGCAGCAUAUAUGGCUAAUUUUGAGCCAUUCUCAUACCACCAGUCAGCUAUUGAAGAUCCUUAUGAAUUGUCUGGUUUCAACUCCAGCUGUCAACCAGUACAUUACUCUUCUGUUUCUUCUUAUUCAUCAGAAGUAUUUACUCUGCCUGAAGCUUAUGUUGUAAAUCUGGAAGAUUCAUCAGAUGAAGGGUGGUAUCUGGAUAGUGGUGCCACACAUCACAUUACAAAUAACAUGGCAAACAUGCAUGUACGAGAAGAGUUCAAAGGUUUAGACCAGCUUACUAUUGGAAAUGGACAAAGUUUGACAAUUACUCAUAUUGGUGAUGCCUGCUUUAACUAUAAAUGUCUUCAUACUGCCUGCAAGCACACACCUAUAACACUUAAGGAUAUCUUAUUAGUUCCUUCAAUUACUAAGAACUUAAUAAGUAUAUUUAAGUUGACAACUGAUAAUAACCUUUCCAUUGAAUUUGUUGGCAAUGUGUGUUAUGUAAAGGAUUCACUGAAGGGACGAGUGCUUCUGUAAGGUCUUGCUGAAAAAGGAUUAUACAAGUUACUGUUAAAGUCAUCUCAGACAUCUCCCUCUUAUUUCUUGAGUCAAAUCUCUUCAAAUAAGCCUUUGUCUAUGCUAUCUACUUGUCAUCUUUACUUUCCUGUUACAACUGGUGCUCAAAAUAAUCACUCAACUUCUAUGUCUUGUUAUCAAACUGUUGUCUCUCAUUGUAAUGCAUCAGUUAAUAAAAUCAAUUUGUUUCAUAGAAGAUUUGGUCAUCUUCAUCAUGAUGUACUAAUACAUUUGCAUAAGAAUGAUAAAACUAUCAAUCUCUCUACCAAUUUUAUCAAACACUCUGCUCAGCAAAUAUGUGAGGCAUGUCAAAUGGGCAAGGUUCAUAAACUGCAUUUUUCUGUUACUGAAACCAAAACUUCUCACAUACUUGAACUCAUUCAUACUGAUCUGUGGGGACCCUCACUUAUACCUUCUAGAGCUGGUUAUAUCUAUUAUAUCAGCUUUGUUGAUGAUUUCAGCCGAUAUACUUGGAUUUACCCAUUAAAGUUGAAAUCUGAAGCCUUACAAAUUUUCAAAUUAUUCAUAUUGCAAGUUGAAAAAUAGUUUCAAUGCUCAAUUAAAAAGUUGCAAUCUGACUGGGGGGUAGAGUACCGAGCAUUUACUGAAUUCUUGAAUCAAAAUGGCAUUAUUUUCAGGCACUCAUGUCCCUAUACACAUCAUCAAAAUGGGGUAGUUGAGAGAAAGCAUAGGCAUGUAGUUGAAUUAGGUCUCACACUUUUAGCUCAAGCUAAGUUACCUUUACAAUUUUGGUAGGAAGCUUUCCAAACUGUUGUUUAUCAUAUUAACAGGUUGCCUUCUGCAACUCUGAAAUUUCUUACACCAUAUGAAAAGCUUUUCAGUCAUAAACCAUAUUACAAGAUGCUCAAAUGUUUUGGCUGUGCAUGCUAUCCUUAUUUGAGAGAUUACAACAAGCAUUAGUUUGUAUAUCAUUCUAGUAAAUGUAUUUUCAUAGGUUACAGCCCAUCUCAUAAAGGGUACAAGUGUUUACACCCAUCUGGUCAAACCUAUAUAGCUAGACAUGUUGUUUUUUAUGAGAAUUUGUUUCCUUACUCAUCAGAUUCUGCUUUCACUUCAAACUCAUCAAAUUCAUGUUCAAACAUACCAUUUACUCCUCAACAAGUGUAUCAUCUAUCCACUUUGUCAAUGUCUCCAAUAUCAGAUAACAGCAACUACUAUAAUCAUGAUUCUGCAAGACCUACCAGUGGUACUUCUUAUCACUCAGGUAAUUCUGCAUACAACAUUGAUCCUCACUUUUCAUUACAAACAGUUCAACCACAUACAGAGCCAGAGCCUUAUAUUUCUCCUCAUGAUCAAAUAUCACUAAACACUAUUCCAUCUACCUCAGCUCUAGAACAUACACAACAUAUUACUACACCAGUAAACACACAUUCCAUGAUCACUAGAAGCAAUGAUGGGAUUUUUAAACCAAAACUCUACAAUGUCACACUUAGGGUUGGCAGAAAAGCCAGGGCCGGCCCAGGCCCGCGUAGGCCCGGCCCGUGGCUUGAAAGUAUGGGUAAGGGCUCAUAAUUAAUAAAGCCCAUAACAUAUGGGCUCAGUCAAGGGCCUAAAUGAAAAGCCCGGGCUUUAUAAUAAAUAAUAUAUAUAUAUAUAUAUAUAUAUAUAUAUAUAUAUAUAUAUAUAUAUAUAUAUAUAUAUAUAUAUUGGUCAUCAUAUUUCUAAAGGAACAAUCACUCCAAUCGAGAGAUCUCUUUUGUUUGCUGAUAAAUUUCCUGAUAAAAUUCUUGACAAAACCCAAUUACAAAGAUUUCUUGGCAGUUUGAAUUAUGUUCUUGACUUCUGCCCUAAUAUUAAUAGAAUGUCUAAGCCUUUGCAUGACAGAUUAAAAAAGAAACCUGCUCCUUAGACAGAUGAACAUACAAAAGUUGUUAGAUUAAUAAAGAAUUCUGUAAAAAGUAUCCCAUGUUUAUAUCUUGCUAAUCCUACAUUACCUAAAAUUGUUGAGACUGAUGCAUCUGAUUUAGGUUAUGGAGGCAUAUUAAAGCAAAAGGAAAAUGAUAAAGAACAGAUAGUACAAUAUGUUUCUGCACACUGGAAUGAUUGCCAGAAAAAUUAUUCUACUAUCAAAAAGGAAAUCCUUUCCAUUGUUUUAUGCAUUACAAAAUUUCAAAGUGAUUUAUUAAAUAAAAAAUUUCUACUUAGAAUUGAUUGCAAAGCUGCAAAACAUGUUUUGGAAAAAGAUGUUCAAAAUAUUGCAUCAAAACAGAUUUUUGCACGAUGGCAAGCCAUUUUAAGUGUUUUUGAUUUUGAUAUUGAAUAUAUUAAAGGUGAUACAAAUUUUAUUCCUGAUUUUCUAACUCGGGAAUUUCUUCAAAACAGAUAAUGCCGCCAAAGAAGAAAGACAAAGGUAAAGCUGUUCUUAAAGACUCUGAAUCUAAAGCAAGGAUCACCUAUGAAAUGAAGAGAAAUAGUGAGGAUUAGAGUGGCAACCGCAUCUUGAAUUGGGUUAUUAAACUCAUCCAAAAUGGGUAUUUUAUCCUCAUCGAUUUGUAUGGAAUUUAGAAUAUCUAAUUGUUGCUGUUGGGUGAGAAGAUGAUCCCACCAACCUUUGAGUUGACCUGUAAAACCAGCAAUAAGGAUUUCUGCAAUGGCUUUGUCAGAAGUUCCUGAUUGGGUUUUAUAUGCAUUAGCUGUCAUGGUCAUCUGUUGCAACAAUCCUAAGAUGUUAUACUCAGACAUUCCAUCUAAAUUCCACUCAUAGACAGAGGAUGCAUUAUAUCGAGAUUGGUUUAAUGCACUAGGCCUGUUGUCUGUGGUCAAAUCAGGUGGAGACCUUACAGUGGGAAGGGCUAAUUCCCAAUGGAUUUUAUUGGCUUUAGGAAUAGGUUCUUCCUUAAAGGUGAGUUGAUUACAUUUUCCUUAAAGGUGAGUUGAUUACAUUAAUGACAUUUUCUGUAACAGCAGAAAACGUAGGGGAAGUUGGAGGAGAAGGUUCCUUCUCUUCCUGACUUUGUACAUGUUGAUUACUAGUGUAGAUCAGAUGAGGAACACUAGUGGUGUAAUCAACUUAUCGAAUGGAGGUACUAGGUAUAUCUGAAGUAGAAAACCUAGGUUGACUUUUUAUGGACUGAAAAGGGAGAUUUAUAAUAGAUUUGCUUUGGAACGCGGUUGGUCAAGUUUUAAUAAAGGUACGUGGCGUUGUAUCUAGAUCGAUGCAGAGACAAGUCUGCCUUUGGAACCAGAUCUGACUUAGAACAGAUCAAUAUUCCGCAUGUUCUAGUUUCCAGCCGAUAUACCAAUUAUAUUUAUUUCAAAGCUGGUAAUUACUUAUAAAAUUGGACAAAGCCGACCCAACACAAGCAUUGUUUAAUUUGAGUUUUUAAUAAUUGAUAUUCCAACGAAAGCAUAUAUAUAUAUAUAUAUAUAUUAUAUUAUAUAUUAUGGAUAAGGGCUUUAUAUAUAUAUAUAUAUAUAUAUUAUAUUAUAUAUUAUGGAUAAGGGCUUUAUAUAUAUAUAUAUAUAUAUAUAUAUAUAUAUAUUUUAAAAAAUGUAUAAUAUAUUAUAAAAUUGAAAAAAAAAUUAAACAAAACAAUAAAAAAAUCGGGCAAAGGGAAAGGGCAAAGGUUUUGUCACAAAAUGUCAAAAUUCAUAAAUCGGUAAAUCUCUAUUAGUUUUUUUUUUAUAUUAGUUGUUAAUUUGUAUGUUAUGUACGGUACUUGUAUUGUUAGUAUUUUUAUAUUUUGUGUUGGCUAAUCAUGUAUUAGAGAAUUAUAUUUAAGUUUUUAGCAUAUUGUAGUAUUAUGUAUUGGAUAAUUAUGUUUUGAAAAUUUAUAGUUUUAUUUUUUAAAAAAAAAUUGAAAAUUCGUAAAAGCCCGGGCUCGGCCCGAGGCCCAGCCCAGGCCCGUCAAGGCCCAGCCCGCCCAAAGCCCGCCCAACUUGGAUGGGCUUUGAGAGGGCCUGGACUUAUUUAACAUUAUAUGGGCCUGGUCCUGGGCUUGGCAAAGCCCGGCCCAGGCCUUUAAAUUGCCAACCCUAGUCACACUUGCUCAUAAAGAACCAGAAUCUGUCAAAGAAGCUAUGGAGAAUCCUAAAUGGUUUACAGCCAUGAAGGAUGAGUACAAUGCUCUAAUGAGUAACAAAACAUGGUCUCUGGUUCCUAGAUCAGCUGGUCAGAAAAUUGUUGGCAACAAGUGGGUAUUUAGAGUCAAACAGAAUUCAAAUGGAAGUUUGGCCAAGUAUAAAGCCAGGCUAGUAACUAAGGGGUUUCAGCAGAUUGAAGGGGUUAAUUAUUUUGAGACAUUUAGCCCUGUUGUAAAGUCAGCUACUGUCAGAGUGGUGAUUAGUUUAGCUGUCAUGAAACAAUGGGAGAUAAGGCAAGUCGAUGUAAAUAAUGCUUUUCUUAAUGAAGAGCUGACAGAAGAGGUGUUUAUGGAUCAACCAGCAGGCUUUGUUAAUAAUCAGAAACCAGAUUUUGUGUGCAAACUCCACAAGUCUCUCUAUGGCCUUAAACAAGCUCCAAGGGCCUGGUUACAGUGGGAUUUUAUAAACUCAAGAGCAUACUCUUCUUUAUUAAUAAAGAAAACAAGCAACAUCAUGAUAAUGGUGUUGAUUUAUGUGGAUGAUAUCUUAAUUACAGGUCCAGAUAGUGCAACAUUGGAAACCUUUAUAAUUGAACUGAGCAGAGUCUUUGCCUUGAAUGAUUUGGGUAAUUUGUCUUAUUAUCCAAAGUUCAGCUACUUGAAUGCAAAGGAAUUGAUAUACCUAUGAGCACUAGAAUAAAGCUACAAAAGGAAACUUUAGGUCAUUUUGGUCAAUAUAUUACUGAUCCUACACAUUAUAGAAGCAUUGUGGGGGGAAUGCAGUAUCUGAUCCUAACAAGACCAGAAAUUGCAUUUGUUGUCAACAAGUUAAGCCAGUAUGUUUCCACUCCUACACUGCAACAUUUGGUAGCUUGUAAGAGAGUGCUCAGAUACUUGAAGUCUACUCAAGAUUAUGGACUUAAAUUUGUUCAGCAUGGAGAGAUGAAAAUCACAAGAUUCACUGAUGCAGAUUGGGCCUGUGAUCUUGAUGACAGAAAGUCUGUGGGUGCUUACUGCAUUUACUUGGGAAACAAUCUAAUAUCAUGGUCAUCUAAAAAGCAAUCAGUCAUUGCCAGAUCAAGUGCUGAAAGUGAAUAUAGAGCCUUAGCGUCAACUAGUGCAGAGAUAAGCUGGUUACCAUCUCUGUUUUCUGAAAUUGGUUUAAGCUGUACAGAAACUCCUACUAUCUGGUGUGACAACAUCAGUGCCACUGAAUUAGCUCGCAAUCCUGUUAUCCAUUCGAGAACUAAACAUAUUGAGAUUGACUUACACUUCAUCAGAGACAAAGUGAUUGCUGGAGAGCUGCAAAUUCAGUACAUUCCUAGUGCAGAACAGAUAGCUGAUAUCAUGACCAAGCCUCUCUCAUUUAUUCACUUUAACUACCUUAGAGACAAACUCAAUGUGCAGCUAUAUCCCUUGAGUUUGAGGGGGGCUGUUAAGGAAGCUCAUUGUGCUGAGCUUAUGAAGAAUAGAAAGGUGAAGAAGUCGUUAGUCUCAGCAAGUGAAGUUAGUUAAUCAUGCCAGCUCAGCAGUGCCAAGUCAUCAGAGUUAGUUAUGAAAUAACAAGUCAGCACAAGUUGUUAAAGUCUGUUAUUAGUAAAUCUUGUGUAUAUAACUAAUCUCGUGAGUAUAUAAGUUGUGAUUGAUUCAGUUGUAAAGUGAUUUGACAAAAGUCGAGAUCCAAUGAAAUAAAAAUUUUCUCUGCAACUUUUCUCUCAAAACAAACAGCUCAAGUUUUCUUUCACUUGCAAGUCAGUCAGAUGUUUACGGUUUUGGGAUGGUGUUGUUGGAAAUGGCUGGAGGAAGAAGGAAUUCCAAUAUGAAUGCAACUCGUUCAAGCAAAGCAUAUUUCCCAUCUUGGGUAUAUGACCAAUUAAAUAAGGGAGGUGAUUUAGAGCUUCAGAAUGUUACUGAAAUUGAAUCCAUGAUAGCAAGGAAACUGUGUAUGAUUGGUUUGUGGUGUAUUCAGGUGAAGGCAGCAGAUCGCCCCUCUAUGACAAAAGUUUUGGAGAUGUUAGAAGGGAGUAUUGACAAUUUGCAAAUGCCUCCUAGACCUUUCUUCUCUUCUUCUCGACAUAUCUCUGGAACUGGAAGAGAGAUUGAAUCAGAUUCUUCAGCAGAGUUGUUAGUGUCUGAAUCAAUGGAGGAAUGUUCUUUCAAUGAUAGCUAUGUUUAAUUUUUGCCAAGGAUGAAUGUAAAAUAAAUAAAUAAUAGAUUGCAAUGACAAACGUUCUCUAUCUUCUUCUUGUUUUAUCUCGCAUUGAAACUUAAUGCAUAUAUUUGUGAGUGCAAGCUAGUUUAGUAGUUGAAAUCUCCUACUCAUAUAGGUGGCAAUAGGAUUUAAUUAGACGUGCGCUAUGCUUUAAAAAGAAAAUAAAAGUCUCUCGCAUUGAUUACAAACACUGGAUAGGAGUUGGAAAUUUUAUUCUAUAUUUUUAUCACACAUUGAAAAUUGAUCACAAAAAAACCAAGUCUACACCUUCAUUCAGCCUAUUCUUAUAAUUGUUGUGCACAAAUGUCAUGGAGGACUAGUCUCUUGUGGGGCUGCCAUUGACUUAAAUACAAUGCAUUUUAGCCAUCCAAAUUCCAAAAAUGAGUAUCAUUUGCUCUUUCACAUUAAGAAAUAUAUCCUCAACCAAGAAGGAAGAGUUAUUAAUAUUACACGAAAAAGCAUCCCUAUUUCUCAUUUUCUCCAUGUCACCUGUGCUUAGUUUAAUUCUCUUCCUUCUCUUUCCUUACACAGAAGCCAAAACUUCAGAAGGAAACAACGAUACAAAUAUUUAUGAAUUUUGUCAGCCAACAACAUGCAGCACGAAGGGACCAAAAUAUCAGAUUUCCCUUUAGACUCAAAACUCAACCUAUCUCUUGCGGUCUUGAAGGGUUUGAAUUAUCAUGCUUAAACACCAAGACAGUGUUGCACCUUCCUUCCUCUGGCGAUUAUUAUGUGCAGGACAUUUCUUAUCUUCACAGCAGAAUUACCAUUAUGGAUGUACAUGAGUCCACAUGCCCUUUAAAAACCACCCGAGCGGCUUUGUCAAACUAUGGAUUGACCUAAAAGGGGAGAGCUUAAAUUAAAUAUUUGAAUCUUAUUCUGAUUUUUUUAAAAUAAUUUAUAAGAGUUCAUAAAAAAAAGUUGUAAAUGUGUAAUUUAGAUAAAUAUAAAUACCCAAAUAAAAUUGGGCAAACUUUUAUUUUUCAUGAUGCUUUUUUUUUCCUUUAAAACCAAAAUAAAUUUAGGAUUCAUUUAUGUUUUAAUCACAUGCUUGUUUCAAAAUUUUACUUUCUUACAACGUUUUAUGAUUUUUUUAAAAUGUGCUCGCAUAUUUGUUAAAUUUAAGAAUUAAAGUCCAUGAUAUUAUAUUCAUCUUUAAGUUUCUCGAACAGCUACUUCGGAAGACUAGAAGGAAAAAUAUGAAUAAAAAAACGGAACAGUUCAUGGCUUUAUGCUUCUUUAUGGACUGUGGUUGCCUCAAUGAACAGCCCAAGUGAUUAUUGGGCUUUUAAUUCGGCUCCUAUGAAAAGCCCAAAGCGUCCACGAUGAAGCAGGUCACAGGAGCAGUCCCAAUUUUGAAUCUCUCUCAACUCCUCAAGCGGGGUUUCAUUUUGAAUGCCGCCUUUGGCCUCAUUUCACAAUAUAGAUGUGCAUGCAUGGAGGAUAUAUAUACACUGGGUGUAGUUGUGUAUAUAUAACUUAUAAAGUUAUAAUUAUAUUAUGAGUAUAUCUUUCUAUGUAUGUAUGUAUAUAUGAACAAAUAAAAUAAUAAUUAUACGAAAAUUAACUAGUACCUGAAAAAAGAUCAGUAGAUCACUUCAAUUUUGAGGGCCAAAUAAUGAUGCACGUUGAUGAUGGAAUACAGAGGGCUCAAAGAUUUAAAAUGCGUUUGAUUAAUGGCAUUUUAAUUUAUGUGCUCUCUAUCUUCUAUCAAGAAAAUUUCAAAAAAUUAACGCCCUCUACUUCAAUCAGACCAAACACAUGCACCAAAUACUAAUUAGGAAAAAAAAACAAUCGAUAUGCUUUUGUCUCCACAAUAAUAAAUAGCUGCUGAAUGGCCAUGGAAGCGUGCAUAUCCACAGCGGCACGAAAUUAAAGUACUUGAUAAAUUGUUUACAGUAGCAAGGACUUUGUAUGCAAGAUGCCAAUUAAAUGGUUGCGGGCUCAAAAACAUUAAUUUAUGCAGUGCUUCCCCCUUUUAGGCUAGAGAGAAAUCAAGUCUACAUUACUUUCCCUCAUUUUCUUUUUUGCCUUUGGCAAUAGAUACAUUAUUUUAUUGUUUUUUUAGCACAUUUUCAAUAAGACUACUAUUCCCAUAUCGGUUGCCAAGUUAAAUAGUUAAUCAUUUGAUCAAUAUUUUAUUUUAUGGAUUUGAGUUCGACAUGACGGAUAUUAGAAACCAGUGGGAUACAACAUGACCAACUUUUACAUCAAUACAUACAUUAUACUAAUGCGGCUGUGACAUUUGAAAUAAGCGAUCAUUCGAUUAAAUCCAUUUACGGUAGAACUACAUACCGCAUGAAACGCAACAGGACUCGUUCCAAUGUCACAAAAUUAAUACGAAAACAUUUGAUAGAGAGGAAAUCUCUGCACAAGUGAAUUGCCUUCAUAAAAUAUCAUAGUGGCACUUUGACUCUUGACGGCAAAGAGGGCUGCUCAUAGAACCAAUCUUGAAUCGGAAAUGGAGAGUUCUAAAAACCACAUGAAAAAUUAGCUUACGAAGACACAUCAAAAUGUUGCACCAAGCAUAAGAUUCAAGAUAUCCUUAGCUCGAAUAUGUUGUAUGUAAGUUAAGUGGAAAUAUCAGGACACAUUGAUUUUCUUCCCCUCUGUGUCUAACUAGUAUUAUAUCGUUGGUCUAACUUUUUCCAUCUAUAUCCUGUGUGUGAUGAAUAACAUAUAAAUUGAUCUAAAUUUUUGUCAUAAACUAUACCAUUUGUACUCUUAAUCCACUUGAGAUUAAUGAACGUCGUAUAUGAUUAAAAAAAUUAUUAAUUUCAUCUCUUUUGUUAUUCUAAUAAUCUAUUAUAUGCUGUUAUAUCCCAUGAUCAAACUAUGUAUUCGACAGUUAAUUUUUCAAUAUUAUUUUAUUAUAUAUUUACUUGUUUCCAUAAUCAUAGUCUAAUUAAUGAUUUAUGUUUUUGUUUUUUUGGACUUUGGUGGUCUCAAUACGAAGCCCAACUCAUAUUGGGCAUUUGAAGUUUAAAUCAUUAAAAAGCUCAAUUAGUCCCCUAUCCGCAAGGAUAGACUAAUAUCCUAAUGGCAUAUUAGUGCCGUCACACACGCCUACAACAUAAAAACUUAUCAUGCAUUAUAUUGAACGCAAUUGUGCACACCGGAUCAUAAUUUUAAUUAUAUAUAUCUUUCUUUAUUCAUAAAAAUAAUAAUAAUAACAACAAUAAUAAUUACAACAGCAACCAUAAUUUUUAGAAACGCGUGAACAUGACAUGAGAAGUCCUCAUUCUUCUGCAUGUCGGUCGCUUUAAAAGUGUUGGUGUUGGCGGCCGUUCCAAAUUUCCAAUGCCGCGUUUCUCCAAAUCCUGUUAAAAAAUAAUAAUAAUAAAGUAAGCGAAAGAUAUUGACUGGAAUUGGACUGCAUGGAAACUGUUUCCAAUAAGUUGUAUCGCUGUUAAUAUUGAAGAACGUUUACUAAGAAAUUUGAGGUCAAGCUAGGAUGGGGAUGGAUGGAUCAUCCCAUUCCCACCGAUGCUAACUCAUUUACAAUUACCAGGAAAUUAAGCGACUUCACUUUGCCGUAUUGACUUCCCCUUUGAAAUCUGAAAGCUUCCACCUAAACAAAUCGUGGAAAGAGACUUCAGAAGCUGCGUGGCAUCCGCAUACAAAAUUUACAGUAAGAAACGAAAUUGAACAUGUUUAUCUAGAUUUGUCCCUUUAUCUUCCAUUGCAUUAAUGCUUGAAGCCUAGCACUCAGUAAUUAAAAAUUUUCUUCCAUCGUGUCGAUUUCAUUUUAUGAAUAAUUAAUAUUAUUUUUAAACAAAUUAUUUAGCGCUAAUUAAUUCAAUCACAUAGUUGUAUCCUAAACUAUGAUAAGUUUAUGAAUAAUUAAUAGUAUUUUUAAACAAAUUAUUUAGCGCUAAUUAAUUCAAUCACAUAGUUGUAUACUAAACUAUGAUAAGUUUAAAGCCCGCCUCUCACCGUGCAAGUGAAAAUGUAGAAAACAUAGCGCAUUAACACUUUUAUACCGUUCUACUUAGUUUAUUGAAAUUCGUUAAUUGUAUCCUGGAAUUGGAGGAGCAAUGAGUAGUGACGAAGCUUCAAUUUUCUCAACUUUUCUGUUUUGUCUGUUGAUGUUUGUAUUCAGCCCCAGAGAAAUUGAUGCAAGAAAACUUGAAGUAAAAAUGUGUUCUUCUUCUUGUGGAGAUGUCAAAAACAUAAGCUACCCUUUUCGCCUCAAGGGCGAUCCAGCUGGAUGCGGUCGUCCGGAGUUAGAACUUUCUUGCGAGAGCAACAAAACCAUCUUCGAAUUCAAUUCUGGAAAGUACUAUGUGAAGAGAAUUUCCCAUGAUAAAUGUACAAUCAGUGUUGUCGAUGUUAACUUAGCCUAUGGAAGCUGCAGCUUCCCAUCCACUUCUUUUUCCCCACCUCGUCUCAGUUUCAGAUAUAGUUUUUAUUAUCUUGGUGAUUCAAGGGCCUAUUAUGUGAAUUGCUCGAGUAAUAUUGUUGAUCAGGCGUAUGCGAAAGUUCCAUGUUUGAGUAACAAUCAGUCGAAUGUCUAUGUUUAUGUUGCAUAUAGUUUCUUUGAAACCACACAUCUUCCAGACUCAUGCGCCUUCAUUUCAAAGGUUCCUGUAGUACUUAAUAGGAGCGUGGACAAACUUUCUUAUGAAGACCUCCGAAAAUCGCUGGAGUCAGGGUUCGAUUGGAGCUGGAGCCUCUCAAUGUCUCGCUGUAAGCUUAUGCUUAUAUUUAUUUAUGCAUUCAAAUGCAAGGGCUUUAUUUUUGUUUUCCAAUAUUGUACGUAAUAAAGAAUUUGUGAACUAUCUCUAAGAGCAUACCGAUAUGACCCUUAAUUUCUGUUUCUUUCCACUUUUGCAACAGAUUGCAUCCACAAUGCGGGAGUAGUGGCAAAGAUAAAUUGCCUCUUAUAUUAUAUACGUAAGCAUAUCCUUAUAUAUCUUUUUGAUCAUGUGUUUUCGACGUUAAUAAAUGCGAUGGCUUCAUAUAUUCUCUAAUCUUUACUCUAUAAUUUUUUCUAAAUCAUCUCUCUGAUUAGGAUAAGGCUUUUAUUUUGUUCCCCCCUCUCUCCAAUUGCAGUUUACGGAGUAAUUUACCCAGCAAUCUUUUGGCCUUGCAUAACGUACGCAUCAGGAAUGCGGAAUUGGAUAGCUUUUCUGUUAGGUAAAAUCUCGUCUCCAGGAUCCUCUUUUUAUUGCUUUGUUUACUACUAUUUACUUUCAAAUAACGUUCUCCUUACCAGGGUUUACACUCGAUGUUCUGAAUGUUCUGAUAAUUGGUAGAUUUAUUCUUGCUCCAAUAGUCUUUCUCGUGUUCCUUAUCCACAAAUACAGAACGACAUUGCAAACAGUUGAUAAUAUUGAGAAAUUUCUGCACAACCACCAAUCGUGGAUGCCUAAAAGGUACUCUUACCCUGAGAUAAUUGCCGUGACAAACCACUUCACUCAUAAAUUAGGCCAAGGUGGCUUUGGUUCAGUUUAUAAAGGACAACUUCAUACCGGUCGCUUGAUUGCUGUUAAGAUGCUGGAGAACUCCAAGUUCAGUGCUGAGGAAUUCAUCAACGAAGUUUCAACAAUAGGUAGAAUUCACCACGUUAAUGUGGUCCAGUUAUUGGGGUUCUGUUCUGAGGGAUCCAAACGUGCACUUGUCUACGAGUUUAUGCCUAAUGGAUCACUCGAUAGGCAUAUCUUUCCCAAGGAGAGUAGAGGCCAAUCUUUUAGUUGGGAGAAACUCCACGAAGUUGCUUUAGGAACUGCUCGUGGGAUCGAGUAUUUACACGACGGAUGUGAUGUGUGCAUUCUUCAUUUCGACAUUAAGCCUCACAACAUCCUGCUAGAUCAUAAUUUCAUACCAAAGGUCUCAGAUUUCGGCCUUGCAAAGUUUCAUCCCAAGGAAAAUGAUUUUGUGUCCCUCAGUGCCACAAGAGGAACCAUAGGAUACAUAGCACCUGAGCUGAUUUCAAGGAAUUUUGGAACUGUUUCUUGCAAGUCAGAUGUUUACGGCUUUGGGAUGAUGUUGUUGGAAAUGGCUGGAGGAAGAAGGAAUUCUAAUAUGAAUGCAACUCGUUCAAGCAAAGCAUAUUUCCCAUCUUGGGUAUAUGACCAAUUAAAUAACAGAGGUGAUUUAGAGCUUCGGAAUGUGACUGAAAUCGAGUCCGUGAUUGCAAGGAAACUAUGUAUGAUUGGUUUAUGGUGUAUUCAGGUGAAGCCAGCUGAUCGCCCCUCUAUGACAAAAGUAUUGGAAAUGUUAGAAGGGAGUAUCGACGAUUUGCAAAUGCCUCCGAAACCUUUCUUCUCUUCUUCUCGACAUAUCUCCGGAAGAGAGAUUGAAUCAGAUUCUUCAACAGAGUUCUUAGUGUCUGAAUGGAUUGAGGAAUGUUCUUUCAAUGAUAGUUAUGCUUAGUUUUGGCAAUGAUAUGUGUAAAAAAGAAAUAAAUUGUCCUCGUGCUACCAGAGCUUCUAUAACAUUAUAUUGAAAAAUUUCAGUACGAUUCAUUGUUUGAUGUGAAUAUUCCAAUUUUGCUCGUAUCGACCAGAAUAUGCUGUAGGUUUGUCAUGUGAUCAUGUACAUUCAUCAAACUAUUUGAAACGCUGCUUGCUGCAUCUCUGAUUGAGCUAGAGUAUGCUUUGAACUCUCUGGUCCUGCUGAACUUAAUUUAAAGUACAAUUACCAAAGUAUAUCGUAGACACCUAGCUAUCACCACACAUCCACUUUUACUUAAUAGAUAAUAAUUUCAUCUCACAACAGUGAUUAAUUAAAAGACACAUAGUUCCCAUCAAUCCUAAACACACCCUUGGUCUCCCACUGAUAUAUCAUGGUAAGCGGAGGGUAGCUGCUAGGAAUUACCGGUUUUCUAAAGAACAUUACUUCCUGAUCUUAAAAACAUAAUUUUCUCAUUUCCUACUACAAAUUACUUUCAUAACUCUCACUAAAAUCUAUAUCACAAACAGCAAGUCCCAUCCUGUUCCUCCAUGCAUCUGAUAUUGGCAGAUACUGAAGUUGACUAGUCUCUUUGGGGCUACCAUUGACUUAGAAAAAGGAGAAAAGAGAGAAGGAAAGAACAGAAGAAAUUAAAAGAAACUCAUUUUCCAACCUUUUUCCAUGACAAAUUGACAAUCAAACUCUCCUCUCCCUUAUUACUCCAAAAGCAUAACUCAAACUCUGCUCUAACUCAAACUCCGCUCUCCCUCUCCCUCCAUGUCCCUCGUGAUGAGUUUAAUAAUCCUCUUCCUCUUCUUACCUUACACAUGUACAUUAGCCAAAGCUUCUGCAGAGGACAACAAGACAGAUAAAUAUGAAUUCUGUCAACCAACAAAUUGCAGUAAUAGUAGCCCAAGUAUCAGAUAUCCCUUCAGACUCAAAACUCAGCCAACAUCUUGUGGCCUUGAAGGGUUUGAAUUGUCAUGCUUAAGUGACAAGACAAUCUGGCAUCUUCCUUCCUCCCAGGAUUAUUAUGUCCAAGAAAUUUCUUAUCUGGACAGCAGUAUUACCAUUACAGAUGUGAAUGAGAUGGCAUGCCAGUUUCAAUUUCUUAUCUCUUUCAACCUCACACACUCCAAAUUCUUUUUUCUUCCCUUUAACAAAAGUUACGCUUUAUGUAACUGCACUUCGAAGGCUGCUGUAGAAUUAGAACGGACUUCUGUUGAACUAAUUGCACCGAUCAAUUGUCUUAGCAAUGAAAACAAUUAUGUGUAUGCCAUAUAUAGCAAAUAUUCAAUGGAGGAUAUGCCUCCAUCUUGCAGAAAAUCUGGAACAGUUGAGAUUCCUGGUAGAUUACCUCUGCAGGAUAUUGCAACGACGGCGAGGGCAAGACCAGUAGUCUUAGGAUGGGAAGCUCUUGAUGGAUGCGACGACUGCGAAAAUUCAGGGAAUUAUUGUGGGUUCAACACUACAAGCAAUUCGACAAUCUGCGUUGCCGUUAAACACCAAAAACGUAAGUAACCAAAUCUUUUCUCAGUCACCUCUCUCUACAGUGCUUGAAAGUGAAAGCAUCGUCUCUAUUUAGCUAACAAUAAAAAUAAUAAGUUGAAUUUAUUAUCAUUGUUAUAUAUGCCGGAAAAUUUAUCAGAGCAGUGUAAAUGAAAAGAAAAAA